UUUUUUUUUUUUUUUUGUUAAGUUUUUUCAUAUGCUGGUUAAGAUACCCACCCAGAUCCAACGAAUCCUUAGCCAACGGCGAGCUUAUUAAAGUUAGAAGAUCAAAAUCAAGAAACAGCAAAAGACCAAAACGAAGGAAAAGCGGAAGGUAGACGAUCAUAUUCAAAUAUUAACUAAAUCAAAUGGCGGUGAAGUUGUAAGAAAGGUAUCCAUCCGCUAAUUCGAGACGGAUCCCAGCCCCAUUCUGCGGGCCAUUAUUAGAGGAUCCGGCUCGGCUCAUUAUUAUCAUUAUUAUAUAUAAUAUAAUAAGGUUGUCUGCGUUGCCGUCUCAUUUUGUUCGUGCGACGGUAAAAUCAGUUUUCAUCUUUCUUCACGUUUGCGAGGAUCUGCUGGGGCUAAUCUUUUCCCUCCACCGUUCGAUUAGUACCAAUCUUCCAUGUAUAUUAUAAUCCAUUUGUCAUAGGGAGGGAGGGCGUGCUCAUCACUAAAUUGUUUGGAUAUGUUUGGCUUCGGACAGCCUAAUUGGCGUCUAAUCACAAAAUCGUGUGCAUUGUACAUCAGUCAUAACUUAUCUUCUUAUGCAUGCAGUUGGAGCCAACUUAAAAAAGGAAGGCACUCUACAACAAAAGCAUAAUCAUAGUGCUUUAAGACUAUAUCAUCUAAUGUGACUUGCAGCAGCCCAAAGAGAGAAGAGAGGAGAGGAGAGGAGAGGAGGGGGUCACUUUCCAGACAAAAAUAAAAAUAAAAGCCAUUUUCUCGUUUCAUUUUAUGAUUUAUCCCCUUUGUUUAGGGAAGAAUCAGUCACUUUCCAAUCAACCAUUAUUAUACUGUCUCUUCACUAAAAUAACGUUCAUAUAAUUGGAAGAGGCCGGGGGGUGGGUUAUAUAAAGUCGCAUGCCAAAUCCGACAAGAAAACUCCUGUGUGUAUCCUAAGAAACCCCUUUGUGGUUUCCGCAGGCCACGUAAGUGGCAUCUCAAGGCAAACCAAAGGAGAAGAAAGAGGCCAUGACUAUUACAGCUUACCAAUUUGCUGUGGCGGUGCAUUAUCAAAUUUUGGUUUUGUUGUUUCUCUCUUCUUCUCUAUUAUCGUUCGUGUACCAUAUGAUGCGCAGAAGAGCCAAAAAAAUUACCAAAUUUUGUCAUUCCUUUAGAUGCAUGUACGUGGCUAAUUUUAGUCGAACCCUUAUCAUUACUCUUUGACACUGAUAAUAUAUAUCAUCCGUGCCUCGAAUCGCAUCGUUGGAAUUUGAACAAUCACGAGUGUUUAAUACAAAAUGUUGCAAUUUUGGAUUGUUUAUUUAUUUAUUACUUUUUGGAAUAGUCUGGAACUACAUACUAAUAAUAGAUUGACAUGCUAAAGUUAAAAUUUAAAUUAGGAAUAACUGACAUGGUAUUCAUACCCGUUAGUUAGUAAGCAAGCCACGUAUAUAUACGAGUUCAGCCUCUUUUUUUUUUUUAGUACAUCAUGUAAAAUUUCAAGGAGAAGAGUAACGGAACGUUGCAACCACUGAGCUUAGCUCAGUAAGGGACUUAAGUCCCUCCUAAACCCUCACCUACAGUAAAAAAAAUUUAAGGGUAGUGCCAUAUCACUUUUUUGAUUUAAUUGGAUCUGUAUACUCACUAGCCCCUAACAUAAGCCUUCUUAGACUCCUCCUCCCCUUAGAUUAGGAUAGAGUAGGUUAUACAAUAUAUCGUUGUUGGCCAAAAAAAAAAAAAAGAGUAACGGAACGUUGCACAUUAUUAACAGUAAAUGUCCAAUUGUGACAUGUCAGCUGUCGUCCUUCCGUUUGCUUGACUUGCAUACAUACAGCAAGGGAAGUCUAAAAUGAAAGGAAUUUUCACGAAAGUUGUUGUUUAUAUCUUUUAGCAAUGAUUACGGACGUGGAAUGAGAAAUUUGUUUAUGAAAAGUGCAAGCUGGUGGCUGGAUUAGGAAUGUAACAUGAAAGGGAAAGAAAGACGGAAGGCCAAGAAAUCCAAUUCAGUUUAAUUCCUCCAACUUUGGUAGUGCCAGCCAGCAAUCAAGAUGAAUAGUUCCAUGCGAUUCCUUCUCCGGGGCAAUGAAGAGCCAGUUGAAUUCAUUUUGGGUUUGUUAUUGUCUAGUGAUGAUUGACUUUGUUAAAGAUGUACGUACUAGUAGUAUCUUUAAACAUCUGGUGACACGUAUUGGGAAAGAGAAGGUUUCCGUUUUGCGGAGACAGUACUGUGCUUUUAAGAUUGUGAAUGAAUGAUUUCCGUCGUCCCUACCAAUCCCAUAAAAUCAAGAGACAAAAUACGAACAUCGAUGAAGAUGAUAAGAACUUUUGAGUUGGAGAAGUACGCGAUCUUCUGCUAUAAAAUUGCAGCAUUCGUUCCCUCGUUCAUUUCCAGGAACAAUAAUACCACUAGCUACAAUGUACUAACUAGUAAAAGAUAGUGCUAAACGCUCGCAACAUCACGAGACUCAGCUCAAAACUUGAUCUCUUAACAUUGUUGUCAGCACAAAACUUGAGUGUUGUCUAUUAACAUUGUUUUCUUGGCUUCUUCCAUCACGAGACUCAGCUCUGUCUGCCUGUGUCUCUAGACACAAACGACAACUAGGAGCAAUGGAAUGAAUUCUAUAAUUGUUUUUUUUCCCCAGUCAUUCUUUAAACAAAAAAAAAAAGAAUCAAACAGUUGAAGUUUAAUUUUCUGUCUGCUGAGCUCAAUGAACAUGCCAGAAAAAGAAAAGAAGAGAACGCAUAUACUGAAACGAACAUCCUGGCCAAAUGUCAUGAUGCGACAAUUGGGGCGGCGGUUAAAUUUUUCCAACGACCAAAUCAUGGAGAGUAUUAUAAGAUUUGCCUUUUUAAUUAGUUUUAGAGACAAUGAGAGCGGCCGAAUUAACGGAAUAUUGCGGGCGUUCGCAGACGUGAGCUGGGCAAAACCAUUUGACUCGUUCAUAUUUAUAGCAUCAGACCGUACGAGUAGUUCCGUUAUUCUUCUGCGCAGCAAAAUGCGGUACCUACAUCUAAAUGGAAUCGUGACUCAAAACCUGAGUCAGAAAAUGAUGAUGAUCACCGUGCUUUACUUUUGAUGUGUCGCAAAAGCACGCAUCAAUUAUGCGAUGCGAAGGUAGAAGGGUUAUUUAUUUUUAAUUCCACGCUAGCUCUAAGUAGGACACGGGGUUCAAUUGGGCGGUGAGAGUGAUUUUUGGACUUAGUUGCUGAAAAGGAAAACGUGCAAUUUUCGCAUUCACAUGUUUUGACUUUCUUCCUUCAUUCUUUUUCUCUUCAUCUACCUUAUAUGGUAAAAGCACGGUUGAUAUGCAAGCACAAUUUCUUUUCCUUUCUGUCGAUUUCUUGAAGUUAAAAGCUAAUGAAGCCAUUUUGGCUAUUGUACUACAAUUGUACUACAAAGUAACGGGUCUUUCUCUGCUGUCUUUGGGUUAAUUUGAUGCAGUUACGAAAAUAGUGGAUUGGCUGUAUCAGAGUAUAAAAAUAAGGCCAAGCCUUAUUGCAGUACUACACUGCUCUUUUUUUUUUGAGUUAGAAAGUCACAGAUUUUGGUGUACAUAAAAAAAAUAUAAGGCAGCAUUACACAGUGAUAUAUUAUUAUUUUCAAACCAAUAACAUUGCCAUUGUUGUCCAAUUAGUCAGCAUAACAAAAAUGACUAUCAUUUAGCAACCAGACUGAAAUUGUGGCUCUCUUCAUUGCUUAAUAAAAUUACAAAAAAAAUAAUCACAAAGAUUUGGGUGCACCUUCAUGUAACUCUUUAUAUUGAAUAUCCCAAUUUGAAUAAUCAAAGAACAUUUCUAGGCAAACUUGAAAAUUACACCGCGCCCUAGUUGAAGAAAACGAGCAGUGAACAACGAACAGGCACCAACCAUAAUCCAAUUAUAUUGAUCCAUUUAAAUUCAUCCCAUUAACUUUGGAUGUGGCUAUAUGCUAUUCAAUUAAAUCCGUUUAAUUAGUAAGUAGUGGGUUGAUUCGACUCACCAAUUUAUAUCCAUUUAUUUAAAUGAGUAUAAAUAAAUGGGUUGGGCAGAUAAAUUCGAAUUUGUUACAAAUUUAAUAACAAAAAAAAAAAAAAAUGGGUUCAGCGUCCAGUCAUGAAACCCUUGAAACACGACACGUCCGAAUCACCCAAUUUAACAUCGACCUCCGUCAUCUAUCGAUCGUGUUAUGCCAUGGUACAACAAAGUGAAUGACCGACCAUUCUUAGAAAGUAGUAGUAAGCAGUACUUGUAUGGUGGUACGACAGAACUAAUGAAACCAUUCCAUCUAUUUUUGGGUUGGCUGGUAUAUGCUUCUGUUCAUCCAGUCUGUCACCACCAACCUCCCGAAAUUGUAAACCUGCAGCCUACAGCACGUGAGCUGAAACUAAAGUUUAGCAGUGCUAGAAAAUGUGUUGCAUAAUGCAUAUCAUCAUAUAUCAUAUAUACAUUCCAUUCCAUUCACGGUGACCCAAUUCUUCAAUCAAUCCUAGGAUAUAUAUAUAUGAUGCUGCUUUUAGUUUAAUUUUCUACUGCAAUCCUCUCUACUCUCUACGUGAGAAUUGCCUCUUCUCCGGUUCAUUUCACUGCAAAUGUGCUCAAGUUGUGGCAGACGGCAAACCACGUGACACGUUUUACACUGCGUCUUUCUUUCGAAGUUUGUUAAUAAUGCUUUGAUUAUGGGAAUUUGAUUGUCUUGUAUCGUUACCUAACUUAACGUGCAGGGGUGAAGAAAUGCAUAAUUGGUCAAGCUACAACAUACAUCUCUGCAACUAGCUAGCUACCAUGACGGCUAAUUCUUUCUUUCUUUUUUUUUUUUUAGUGUUGACCAAUCUGGCUACCUACCAAUCCGCAAAGUGUUAGAAUGAAGAAGCAUCAUUCUAGCUACCAUUCGUAAUACGUACAAACAUGUUAUUAAUUAAUUAUGAUCGAUGCUACUCUACUAAUUACUAGUAGUUGUCUGUGUCUAUCUCUUGGUGAUUAUGUGGUCAAUGCACAUAAAAAAAAAAAAGAUAGCCGGAGAAUUAAUUUCUUGUGGUCUCAUAUUUGUACGUACAACUUGUCCAGCAAUUAGUAAUACGGACCGUUUCUUUUCUGAAAAGAAAUUGAGCUGUAACGAUCAUGCCCAACUAACCGCGCCAAUUAAUUAGUAGUGUCUCUUUGGUGAGGUAAAACAGGAAUACUAGUGUAUAAUACGCGCGCAGGAGCUCCGUGAAGCUUCUCGUUUCGUUCUGAAAUACUACUAAUCGCUUAGAAUUGAAAUACUACAUCAAUUUUAAUGUAAGCUCCACCGGUUUAUUCCCUCCAUUAAACCCAUUUGAAGAUUUCAAGCUCAGGAUCUUAUGCAUGGUCUUCUUGCCUACUAAGAGUUGAAUUUCCCGUCAAAAUUCUGAACUUGAAAGCGAAAAAAGCGUGUCGUCGUAAUUUAAACAAUUGAUGUCGUUAUAAAAAGGAUUUGUCGAACAAGUGCGAUUAGGGUUGCUGGUUAAGUGGGGGCUGAUGAUCAAAUGUUAAUGUUGUUGAAAUAUAGGUUAAUGAAAUUAAAAAAAAAAAGGAAAAGCUUUCAAAAUGUGGAUGCGUUCGCUGUAGAUAAAGUUGUGCGUAUUAAACCAUGUGCGAUUAGGGUUUUGAUUAGAAAAAUCCUCAUUGGUGGGAAAAAAAAAAGAAAAGAAAGAAAGGGAUCUUCGUAGCCGUACGGUUCGUAACAAGAUUAGGGUGAGAGCCGAAAACUGAUCGAAAGGGAACAUCAUCCUCUAAGCUGGCGAUCGAAGGAAAAGGCUCCAUUAUUAGCUUGAUUAUAUAAGUGGUCCACGAAGCCUGGGAAAUAAGCUUCCGAAAAUUCCCAGAAAGAAAGAGAGAAAAAAGUCAUUUUCGGGAACCUCACAUAGUCCUUGAUUGUCCCUCCAAAGCUGAUGCAUCUUUUAGUAAUGCCAGCGCCUUGGAGGGUGACUGGUGAUAGAAACUCGGAGAGUGACUGGUGAUAGAACCUUCCUUGUUAUAACGUAAACAAGCCUCUGCUCGCUCCGCCUUCUUCUUUGGGUUUGAUAUCCUGAAACGGGGAGUCAUUAAUUAAUGGCAUCUCGUGUAGUAGUAUUACAUUUUCACUAGAAGAAAAUGAAACAUGAUAAUUUAGACAGGGCAAAGUCAACUUUUGUUUGUAUUACACUCUUGUUACGUUACGUUAUGUUAUGUGCUCGUACUCGAUUGAAAUUUGUCCCAUACAACAAUGGAUAAGAAUCUAAAUCAUAAAACAUCUCUUUUGAUCAAUUUGUCUCAACCAUUCAAGAAUUAGCGGCCGGGUCGUGCCAUUGUUGGCAUUGAGAUUUUGUAUGCUGUGCAAAAGAUACUCACAAAACUUGGAUUAUAAACAGUUUUAUAUACUUAUGGACUUUUGACGUUUCGAGAAUUCUCGUGAUAUCCAUAAAGUCUAAAGGCUUCAACAUGUGAUGGAACCGCGCACUCAUCUAAUCUAACUAAUCAAACAUGUGAAUCUGCAUUAAUUUACGUUGAUGAUGCUGGGAAAACCUCUGCAGCCUACAAUACUAAUAUUAAUAUUAAUGCUGAGUGAGUGAAAACCUCUGCAGCCCCCUGUGCUAUUUCCCAAAAGCCAGGUCUGUUUCAUCUUCACGUGCAACAAGUUUCAAAUACUUGCCGAAUAUGGUAGACUCUCCAUGAAAAUUAGUACUCCCUCCGUCCCACUCUGGCCUUCCGUCCUGUCCCAAAUUAUAGUUCAUUUUUUAAUUGGAAAAUGUAGUUAUCUUUUAAUUUUUUUUAAAAAAAUAUUCUUAUUUAAUGUAAGUUGUUAUUACUAUAAACUACCUUAUUUAAUAUAGUAGAUUAUUAGUAUUGAAUAUAACCUAACUCAUUUAAUACAUUUAGAUUUUUCAAAACAUAUUAUUGAUAUGUGAAUAAAAAGUAGCACAGAAUGUGAGACAGAGAAUCCCGUCGCGGGUGUAAGGAGAACCAACGCAACGACGCAGUCAAAGCAAACUAAUUAAGCUGAGAAGAUAAGGUACGUGGUGGCUAGACUCUGGAGAUGCAAGUCAUUAUGCCCACACAGACUGCAAUAUAUCUGUUCUGCACAAAUGACUUGCUUUUCGGGGCACCAUCUCUUCAAAUCAUUUGAAAGUUAACAAACAAACAAACAAACAAGAUGCAAUAGUUGAAUAUUAUAACCUCUAUGGUUAAAAAAUGGAUUAAAUUUAUCCUAAUCAUUACUUACUAUACACUGCUGAUAAAAAAAAAAUAUAUCUGCCAAUGACUUAGAGGGACAAGAUGGUAAUGGCCUAUGACUUUUGACUGGGACAUCUGUUUGCUUGUAGACAAACUACAAAACUGGAACGCCCAUGUUGUCUUUAAGAUAAUGGGCAUUGACGCUACGUACGACAAUCACCACACUUUUUAUAAGUAGAAGAAGAAGAUAGACAGAAGACCCCUCUCAAGUCCCCAUGAGGUGUUUUGUUCGUGUUGUCCAAUUGAACAUUCCACUUUUCUUUUUCAUUUUUUGUCAAGAAAUGGGAGGAGAUUCUGAUUUGCUUCUCAAAACUUUUCAGGCCCAGCCAAGUAAAGCUCUUUUGUUGGCCACGAAGUAGUUAUCAGCUUUUCUGGUGAAAAUUACAGCACGAAGUAAAGCCAUGGCCGCCACGUUAGGCGAUCGUCUUCUGUCUUUCACCCGUAAGAAUUACUACAAGUCUUAAGGACAUUUUCUGAAUUAAUUCACAGCUUCCAGUUCAUUUGAAAAUGAAAUAGCAUCAUCCCAUCUUACAGGCCCUCUUCACAAUCCUCGGCCUUCUAUGCGAAAAUGAAGCAUCUCAUAUAUACAUAUACCACAAAGCAAAGAACAAAAUACCCAAUUACAAAAAGGAGAUAUGAGGGUAAGAUCACUUUUGUUUUGGUAGAAGUUACUUGCAAUCUGAACUAUGUAGAGUGGAAGAAACGACAGAAAUGGCAAAAACAUGUCUGUGUGUAUAAUUAUUAAACAGCAAAAGCACGUAUAUAUAUAUAUAUUACAUGAUCAUCGUCCGGGAACAUUAGCAAGAACCAAAAUAUUAUAGACAUGGGUAUAUAUUUUAUAUUGUGGCCCUAGUGGAACAAAAAUGUAAACCAUAAGCCAAACAGCUUCUAGACAUUUUCUCUUUAUAAUAAAUAAAAAAAAAAAAAGAGGAAAAAAAAAAUGCUAGACGUUUUAGGUGUACCACGUGGAGCUAACCCAUUUCAAUGUCCCCAAAGCUGGUGGGUUUCAGCAACUCGCAAUCACCAACCGCAGCUUGACCCAGCAAAUAGCCGUAGAACUCAGCGUCAGGCACCCACCACGGCGGGAACAGCCACCCGUCGACCACCGAGUCAGACAGUGUCAACUCGGACGAGUCAAAACUCUCCUCCAGACUCGGCAACUCGAUAAUCUCAUCCAACUCCUCCGACGAAGCCGUCAUUGUAGUUGUUGAUGGUGAUGAUAUUGAGUCGCUCACUGAUGACGAUAGCGACGACGAGGAGGAGGAGCAUAAAGAGCUGAGCUCCGCCAUUGCGGCCGCCUUAGCUGCAGCCGCUUGAACGUCCCGGGGAGCGAGCGAGACUGGGCGGGGCAACGACUCAACGAGUUGAGGAAAAUUUAAAAUGGCCGAGUUGCCUUUAAUACUCAGGGCAGCCACGUCAUGGGCUCUAGCAGCCAUUUCAGCGGUGGAAUAGGUUCCGAGCCAUAUGCGCGAUUUUUUACGUGGCUCGCGAAUUUCAGACACCCAUUUUCCCCAGCUCCGCAUCCGCACUCCUCUAUAAACUGGAUGCUUGUUGCCGCUGUUGUCGCGUUGUCUCUUGAGCGGCGGCCUGUCUUCUUCUUCUUCUUCCUUGGAAACUUUUACGAGCUCGGCGGACGGGUUAGACUGAGUUGACCCGGAGGACGAUGAUGACGACGACGAAGAACUUAAAGAUGAAGAACACGAACUCGGUGGCUCAGACAUUAUUAUUAUGAUCAGGAAAAGAAAAACCGCAUGCAGGGGUGUUGGUACACUGGAAAGAAAGAAUGGUUAAAGAUAAAUAUAGGGGACAAAUGUCAAUAUACCCGUUGGGGAAUGGGGGGGUGGAGAGAGAGAGUGGGGGGCUUUAUAGAGAGGAGGGGGUUGUGGGGGUGGCCUGAGUACGAAAUUAAAGAGUUAAAAAGUUAAUACGCUCUCUUUCAAUUUCUGGAACAGUGACAAUUAACCUACCGGCUACCAAUUACAGCGCUUACUUACGGACUAAUAAUGAGCUCAUUCAUACUACUCUUGCCUAAGUGGCUAAGUACUACUAACUACUACUACUAAGUACUCCCUCGCUCACUCACUUGAGGAUUGAAAAUGAGAGACCCACCCCCAGCCCGAGAGAGAGAGAGAAGCUGAAAAGUACAAACAACGAGGCCGAGGAGGGAAGAAGAAGAAGAAGACGACGACGGGGUUUGGAGGGUGGGACCUACGCAAGCAAUGGGUCAUGACGUUGAACAGUAAUAUAUGUGGGCUCCAUAAUGGUUGGUACCCAAUGCCUUAAAAAUAAAUUUUGAAAAUGUCUGCCCAUCUCGAAUCUCUUUGUUUUUCUUUUUAUACUGCGCUCUUUUUUUUUUUGGUUUCAACUGGUGGCAUCGGCAGCACAAAUUUGAGGAAUUUUUUGUCGCUGGAAACCAAAGGGUUCAAUUGACGACGAAGUGUAAAAAGUGAUUCACAUGAAGACGACGUCUGAAUGAAAAAGUAUGAUCCGAUUAAAAGGACAAGAAACUACUAACUGUGUCAAAAAUCAACAUGUUGUUGUCUCGAGUCUUGACAAGUUAAAUACUACUAGUAAAUACCACCACUGGUACUAUAAAAUCACUGCUUAUUAUAAUACUAAGAUAUAAAAGUUGGUUUUUUUUUGGGUGAGGUGAAGUCCUUCUAUUAUAUUAUUUGAAUUUAUAAUGGGGAACAAAAGAAUUACCGGUACCAGAUAAAGGCCGUCCGUCACCAAAAGGAAGAGGCCCGCCGUUGUUGGACUUGGAGCAGGUCUCGUAGAAUGGUGGUAUCUUUCAAAUCCCAUUCAUGUUUGUAUCCGUUGGAGGGAUCCUGCUCCUACGUCGUAAUCCUGCCACUUAGCACUUUGUCCCGUUGUUCGUUAUGGAUUGGUGGUAGAGUAAAUACUCGUACUUAGCAGUAGUCGCAAGUAAUUGGCCGCUGGGUGUGAACGUGAUUCUCAUUUGUCUUCCAACUCUUCUUGAAUUCAUUCAUUAUUGAUGAUUAGGAAAUUGUAGCCGGAGAGCUCCGCUCAGUCCUCUCCUCCUUGCCUUGGGUGCUAGGGUCGUCUGCUCCAAAUCCCAAGAGCUGAAAGACGGACCCGACCGCCCUUGUGAGCAACUGACGACACGAAUGACCGAAAAAAGCAACGAGAUGACGCGAAAGCGCAUCUAUCCAAUAUAUAUAAAAAAAAAAAAAAACAUGUUAAUAGCUCCAUAUCAAUUAUUUUGUUAUAUUUUGAAAUUUUUAUUUUUUUUCGUACUACUUUUUUGAACUUUAUUCUCACAAAUUCAAAAUUUAAAUUUGAAUGAUAAUAUAUAUAUAUAUUUAUGAUUAAAAAAAUUAAAAAAAGUGAUUUAACUUUCUCAACAUAACAAACAUAUUAACACGUCCGACAAUGAAAAGUACAAUAAUGCUUUCAACCAAUGAGACAGAAGGAUUACUAUUUUUGUACAUCUUCCUUUGAAUGUAAUUCAUGACAACCCUUUUGUCCUUUUCUUUUUUUACAUACUAGCAAUAAUUGACCUUAUCUCGUUCUCAAUCCAUAUAACAAGCCACGCCAUCUAGUUGUAUAAAUUAGCCGACUGUGAAUAAUUACUCUUCUGUGAUGUAUUUAGCCGACUGUGAAAAGAAAAGAUAAUUAAAAAUACAUUUCCGGUCUAUCUACCGCUUCGGUAAUUUGGUGGGAUGAAAUGGAGAAACAGGUGCGAAGAAGUUUCUUUGACACAAGGCCUCCGACUCCGAGAGAGGUUUUGUGGCUCACGGCAUUUAAUUGUCUGAAAUUUCCAACCAAGUUGUGAGUGAGUAUAGCAGAGGCCAAUUUUCGGUGCAAAAGCGGGGUGUCAGUAGCGUCCGCCUGCAGGCCAGGCCUCCUCAAAUUUGCCAGAAAAAGAAGACGGACGACCUCUCCUUCUUGUUUAUGUCUUGGCACGUACUACAAUGUUGUACAUCAGGCCCCUUCUGCUGCUCCGCUUAAAAAUCCCCUACUAUUAGACCUACUGCACACAUCCUCCUGAAGCUCUGGAAAACUACACAACUUAUUUCCCUGUAAGGAUGCUGUUGUGUCAAUACUCCGAUUUAUUACCGACCGAUGGCAACGUACCAAUCCCAAUCAAACAAUAAGGCCCCCCAGACCCAGUUGGAGUUAUGAACUGUGACACGACAUUGGGAUCUUAAAUUUUGUUUGACAAUUAAUUCGUGAAAAGUUCUCGUACAAGCAGCAUAAUAAUCUUUUUUUUUUUUUUUUUGCAUUGCUAGUAAUUUUGAAGCUUUUAUUAAAAUAUAUAUAUAUAUAUAUAUAUAUAUAUAUAUAUAUAUAUAUAUAUUAGCAAUUUAAUGUAUGGAAAAUGAAUGAAAACGUGAUUGAUAUAGGCGUUUAUAAAAAAAACGUAAAAUAUUAACAAUACUUUGGCUUAGACAAUGGGAAGUAACAAGUACACUGCUGCUAAACAGCACUCAAUUUGUUUUUCAAAAUUCAGAACUAAUUCAGCAAUUCUUAUACCACAAUAAAUAGUUAUCCAAAAACAAAAUAUCCUUUGGGCUGAUGGUCACCAUCAAUGCAUUAAAACUUGUUGGGGUGGGAGACAAGGUCAUCAAUUUGCCACACUAUAGCGGCUCUGUUUAAAAAAUUCAGGCGGGUGCAUUGAGCACUCAUCUGAUCCGGUAGGUGGUUUAAUCCCCUUCGAGUUACCUUUAAACUUCUUCAGAUCCUCCCCUCCCUCCUUAGUAUAGGAUAAUCUUCCUCCUUUAAAUUUUACUCCUUGAGUUUUUGGCCCAAGGCAUACUCCCGAGAAUCGAUUGCCCAUGAAUUUGUAACACACAUCAAGCUUCCUAGACCCUUAGAAAACUAAUUAUGCCGUGUCUCAUUUGCUUGAGAGAAUGCCAUAAUCUGUUUUAAGAUAUACUCAUAUAUGCAUAAUAUAAUUGUUGAAAGUCAUUUUUAUUGGGGAUACAUGCAUUGCAGUAUAAGGCUCAUAAAUCAAUUCGCAAUCUUGUGCCACCUACUUGCCAUCCAUCUUACGAUAAAUGAUCUUACCAGCCCACAACAUAUUGUUUCGUGCCAUUUACACAAAUAUAAACUUCUAAAUGACAUUAGUAUUAUUGUACAAUUGUUUUGCUCUUUCAGAUGGGCUUUGGAAGUGGUCCAAUAUCUCCCAAGAAUUUGUUUGCGUGUCAACAAAAUCACAAUCUGGAUUCUGGAGGGUGUUUACUCAGCCCACAUAUACGCACUUGGCCCGCAUGAAUUCUGGCGGCAUAUUUUGCAGCUCUCUAGAAGCGUUGGUACUUGCUGCUACUAGUGCUCUCUAUCAGGUGUCAGAUUAAUGUUAAUCGGAUUGAUCAACCAAACACCCUCUCCCGUUUGUUCCCUUUUGGAGGAUUUUUCUCUAGUCAUUAGUCAAGAAUUCUGUUCUAAACAUGUUUGACUGAUCACUGCAAUAAAGAGCAAGUUCAUUUUCCUAAGAUUGCUGAUUUCAAAGAGGUUUUUUUUUUUAAAAAAAAAAAAAAAUUUAUUCAAUCAGCUGCUAGAAGAAGGCUCGACACGAUGAGAAAAUAUAAAACCACCAGAGUACCUGAAGAGAAGGGGGAAAGAAAAAUAUUUAACCCCAGCCACCAACUGCAGCAUAAAGAAUUUAAUUUAUGAUGAAAUGAAACUAUGCUCUCUAAUGGAGUGGGAUUCAAGAAAGCAGUAGUUUGCAAGUGUGUUUGUUCACCUAAUGUGAUAUAGUAACUAGAAGGAAUUAUAUAUAAUAGUAUAAAUGAAGCCAGGCCUAAAUGGAGCUACGGAAAUUUUGAUUAAGGUCAACGCCAGUUGCUCAGGACUGGCAAGUUGUUGGUCAGAUUGUAAUCAACCCGUGCGUGCUGAUCUGUUUCGAUUUUUUGCAUUUUUUUCUUUAAAAAGAUGCAGAAUUUGAAGAAUGGUUUCGUUGCAUGUUUUUUUUUUUCAACAACUGCACAUCUCUGCUAAAUGACCCGCAACAAUAUUGGGUUAUUUCCCCAAAUAUAUUUGCUUACAUUACCAUUACAAUUUUCAAUACAGCUUUUUAUUUUUUCAAUUAUCUUUUUAUCUCACAUACAUCACAUCACAAAAAAUACUACAGUAAAAAUAUCUCAAAUAAUUUACAUUCCAAACAAACUAUAAUUUGAACUUCACAUCUUUAAUAAAGAAAAUAAAGAAAGGAGAACUUAAAUAUUAGUAUCUUAUGUAAUUAAACGACCCGUGGUUCCAUAAUUCUUGCAUAAGCAAUAACACGUUACCUCCAGAAAAGAAAACGAGUUUAAGUUCAUCUCACUUGAAAAUUUUUUUGUAAAGAAAAUUUUGAGAUUUAACUUAUCCAACCCUCGACGAUUAAAGGGAUAAGUAAUUACAAUUUCAGUAUGUAAUAGAUUAAACCAUUAAUCCAACAAAAAAGAAAUGUAUCUAACCUCUCCUACAGAUAUACCAGGAAAGUAAACUGGGUUUGCGACAUUAGCGCGAUAGUACAAAACAGUGUAGUAAUUAGUAGCAGAUAACGAGGACAAAGGAGUCAUUUCGAAUCCACAAUUCUUGGUUAGCAUAUAAGCUAAUUAAGUGGAGAAAAAUUUUAUUAAAAAAAUUUAAAAGGAAAGGAAAGGAAAGAAAAAGAAAAGAAAUUCAAAGCUACACUAUUGACAGUAGUUUUCCCCGCGUUAUAAGCAGAAACUGACGAGAACGGAAACUCCAUGGUUGCUUUUUUCUCCCUUAGAAUUUGAGAAUUCCCCGAAGGAUGGAGGCGUCUAAGAGUAGUUACGAUGGCAUCAACGAAGCUUAUCGCCCAAUCCCUUCUCUUAACUUGGCUUUUAUGUUGGUUUGGCUCCUCUCUGCAGCUUGUUGGACCGUCAACACUUACAAAAACCGCCAUUUUCAGGUCUCUCGUCACUACUCAAAUCUUGGCAUCCCACCUCAAUCUCGGCCUCACUGCUUCUUUGAUUUUGAAAUGUCAAUAUAUAUUCAUGAGCCCAAUUUCCAAAUGGGUUCUUUUAUUUGAUCCCUGUAAUUUAACGAUUAACCUCAGUAUCUUAUUUUCACAUUUUCUUCCUGUUUUGCCUGCAAGUGUGGUUUCAAGAAUAGACCUUUUCUCUUUUUUUUUUUAGCAGAAAAUUUUGUUCUAAAUGUAUUUUAAGUUUGAAGGACUAAUUUGUGAAUUUUGCGGUGAUUGUUGCUGUCACUAGAACAGACGAAUAAAUUGCAAUGGACACUGACCGCUGUUCCAUUAAUUAAAGCUUUGCAGCUGACCUUAUCUUUUCUCUUCUGGUAAGUCUUUCUUUGUUGGAAGUAUCAUGAAUUAUUAGUCGCGGUGCCUAGUUGUUGAUUGUUUUCAUCACUAAUUUCUGAAAUUUGUGCAAGUUUAGCAACUAGUUAAUGUGAAGGGCAGGCCCAUAUUUUUCUCCAGUGCCUGUUAUGAUUUAGGUCUCUUUUGUACUCCCAGACUCGUAUUAGUAUGUUUGGUUUAAUGGUUAGAAGAUAUACUAAGAGCUCAUGUUCCCAUUAAAGAAAAAAAGAAGUUUGGGUAAACACAUAUGAGCAGAAAUUUGGAACUGAAAUCUGGACUUGAUGCUAAAAGGGGACAACUUAUGUUGCUUCUAUAUAUUGAUUACUUUCCUUGCAGAGGUGCGUUCUUUGAUCUUGUGUUUUUCCUGCAGGUAUUCGUGCUUUUAUCUUCAAGUAUGCUCUUUAUGGAUGUCUUUUGGUGUCUUUGUAACUGGAGUGCUCUUUCAGACUGUAACUUUUGUGUUGUUCCUCCUGAUUUCUCAUGGAUAUUGCAUCACAUAUGAGCGUCUUUCCAUUAUCGAGCGGAGAACAACAGCUGCUCUUGGGUGUGUCUUUUACUUGACUCUUGUUGGUUAUCGAGCAUCCGUACCUUACUUCUCAGUGAGUGUUCCUUUACAAAUUUUUGGCCAAAAUGCAGCUGAACUAGUGUCGUGGAGCCUUUUCUUUACAGAUUAAUUUCUCUAAUCUAUAGAAUUAAGAAACUGAUUCAGCUUAGUUUCCGUGAAACAGGCUCUUAUGCUGCUAAACUAUUUCGUGUCCUUCUAUAUGAUAUUCCGCCACAUAUCCCAGAACUUGUUGUUACUACGGGAACAGUUGACAAUCAUUGAAGAUGAGGAAGUUCAUGCAAUGCAUGACGCAAUCUGUACAAAAUACAUCAUGUUCAAGUAUGCAUUACUUUAUGUAGUACAUUGUGCUUUUCUGCAUAAAUCUCAUAUCCCAUUUGUCCCUGGGCAAAAGUUUAGAACUAAAGUAGUUGAUAAAGUCUCGUGUGUUUGAACUGUCCAGGAAAUUUCAAGGUGCAAUGCACAUUGUGGCAAUGGCAGAAUUGGCAGUAAGUAUAUUCUGCUUCUACCUUAGUUCUGCAGUAGUCAGAAUGUAAAAUGCAGAUCUCUGUACUAAGCAAGCAUUUUUCUUGUCAGAUAUUUUUUAACAUAAACGAUUCAUUGGACAACUAUUGGCUCCGGUUGGUGGUUAGAGAAUGGGCACAGUUCUGCAUUAUCCUUUACAUCGGGUUUGUAAGAUAAUGUGUUGAUUAUUUAGGUGGAAUGCAUUAAGUUUUCAACCCUACCACUUUGAUUAAUUAUACUCAAUUUUUGUUGCAGAUGGACUUUUAGGUCAAAAGACUUGGCACCACGUUUCUCAGUUAUGCCUACUUUAAAGAGCACAGGGAUGAAAAUGGUGCCUCCGAUAUACAGCAUUGUAAGUUUUAUGCAGAAGUCUAAGCAUUCUGUGAAAUCACCCACCCAGAUGCAUGCAAGAUAUGUAUCUCGCCAUCUAGUGAGUGGUAAAUAUGGAAGAAAAACAGAAAGGAAGAGAUAAACUGGUUACAUUGGACCAACAGAGAGAUAAACGGUAAAAUUCCAAAAUAAUGACGUCAAAAUAGUGAGAUAAAAAUGGUGAAAUUUCCAAUUCUGCAUCUGUUUUAGCAUGACAUGGCAGUUUAGUUGCAUACCUUGGGAACAUUUCAGUUAUGUUUAUCUCGUUAAGUUUUGCUUGAUCUAUGGAGUAAGCUAGUAACUAUAUGUCCUUCCAGAAUUUGGUAGAACAUGGUUUUCAAAAAUUCUUUUUGUAUUUUGAUGCAGGAAAUGGAUGCAACAACCUUCAAAGAGUUUAAGAGUCAUGAGUGGCAUAUUGGUGUGGUAAGUUAGGGUUGUUGAAGCUGAAAGCUCCAAGUUACUUUGAAAUGCACUUUCUUGUGAACUUCAACCUUGACCUUCAUUCUUUUAAGUACAAGUGGAAUGUUUCCCUACUCUCCAAUAGGUUAGUCUCAGAAUAUGUCAAUCCGUUUUUAAAUUUUAAAAUCUUAGUUUAGACUAUUAGCCAAUGCACUCGUGGAUUCUUGAAAAACUAGAAUGAGGGAAAGGAAGGAAGAUAUAGUAAUUGUUGUCUCACUUUGUUAGCCUGACUUUAGUAAUAAUUCUACAACCAAUUAACUCAUCUUCUUCUUAAACAUGUAGUCUCAUCAUCAAGGUAAGAACUGGUUGGAAUGAGGGUUAUUUUUCUUUUUCUUUUCCACACUAAAAAACCUUGAAUUGCUUCCUUAUCACUGCCUACCAUUUAGUAGUUUGCUCUCGGGGUGCAUUUCUUGAUCUCAUGAUUUCAUUGCUAUGGUAUUGAACGCUAUGGUUUGUACUUGCAGCCCACUUCUCUGCAGAAAGGACGCUUAGAGGGUUCAGUCUUAGUUGUGAUUCAGCAUCCCCGUGCAGAUACAAUGACCUCAAUCAGCCCUGCCUCGCUCUGCACCACUCAAGUUCAUGCCUCUAACCUGCCUGUAAACCAAAGAAACUUCAACAAUCAACUUGUAUAGCUGUAGGUAUUCACAAAUAUUAUUAUUUUCAUGAUAACACAUUUUCUGAAAGAAAGGUUCCCGUAUGUCAUACCAGUUCGUCUAUUGUUAUAUGGACUUGAAACUAGAGCAUCUCUGAUGCAAACAGAUUCGUCAUUUUGUAACAUGUUGGGCAGAAAUGUGCAGCCUAAUCAAUAUGUAAAUGGAACAUGUUAGGUAUUUUCUUAUGUGGUAUCUCCCUCCCAGGUUACAAGAAGUAGUGUCACAUAAAUCAAUUAAUCUAUUCUAGCCAAACAAAAAAAAGUGAUUGAAUGUAAGUCAGACUGUUUGUUGCAUUCAAUUUUUUCGUGAGAGUGGUCCAAUACAAAACCGACCCAAAUAGUAGCAGUGACUUUGCCAUGGCGCAAGCCGAUAAUUGGACCUUCGAACCAUCUUUCGUCGAAGACUUGCUCCUGUAAACUUUACAAAACCGAGUAAAGCUCCAAAUGGUGGUGAUAUUUGGAAAGAGCUAUUAAACAACGAAAUUUUUGGGAAUAUAUAUAUAUAUAUACUAGGGGGAAGUACCCGCACAUCAUGCGGGUGUUUGAUGCCUGUAACUAAAGAGAAUUUUUUAGUAGUUGAAAUGAAUAUUAUUUCCAUAUUGACCAAGUUAUUUUUUAUCAAGAACCUAUCGGUACAUAUCAUCAAUAUUUUUGCCAGGUGAGCAAGUGAUUGAAAAUAAGAGUAAAAUAAUAAUGCAUAUUAAGUAAUAUUAACAAAAUUGUUGUAGAUAAUAAUACAUAUUAGCCGAAUCCUACUUAAUAUAAUGCAUGGAUAAUGGAGUAGUUUAGAGGGCAUUAGCCUAAUCCUGAAAGCCGAAAAGGGGAAAACGGAAGAAUGUGAAAGAGGAGGCAUCGGAACAACCAUAACCGAUAUUUAGACAUUAAAUCAUCAACAUACCUAUGUUUUUUGCUGUUUUAAUUGAGAUGUAAAUAGUGAUAUAUUGCUAGUGUGGAAGCUAUUUCAAAGUUAUGGGAUUCAAACAUGAGAACUCAUGCAUUGGUAUUAUUAUGAGUUGUUUGAAUGAAUAGCUGCAGCAUCUCUUUAUUUUAAUUGCACUAUGACACCAUUUCAAUAAUUACACCAACACAUAUGCUCAUAUAAGUUGUACCCAAUGCACUAACGAUUGCAAAAUAAUCCCUCAUUCCAAAAAUACCUAGAUGUCCUUAUAUUAUAUAAGAAUGAGUUUUGGUCAAUUUUGUCAAAUGCUACUAUAUGAUAACAUCCAACAAUCAUUUCAUUUGGUGCAAUAGCUAAUAAAUUAAGUAGGCAAAGAUUUUACAAAUUCUUAGAAAUUGAAGUUAUUAACUUGUAUAAAUUAAGAUCCUUUUUAAACUACUUUGGGAGUUUUGUUUUUGUUAAAAUUGUAAUAAAGUAUUUACAAGGAUCUUCAAAUGAUAAGAAUAUGUUUGUCCAUAUAAUUUUUUGGUAGUACUAAAUUUGCUAUAGUUUCAGUCAAUUGGUGAUAAAACAACUCCAACUUCAAUCGAAUUUUGGAACUAUUUAUGUGGCAUAAUUUGUGGUGCAAUACUGAUAAAGUAUGUAUCUAAAUUUAGGUUGAAUUCUAAUGUUUUGUUAAGGAAGUUAGGAAUGAAAGCUUUAACGAAUUCUAUUCAACCACUAUAGACUACUCGAUUACUAUAAGUUUAGCAGAAUAUAAGAGAAAAUAAACAUAUUAUCAAACAUAAGAUUAAGACAAGCUAUAAGUUUUAUAGCAGCAGAUCAAACUACCAAAAUCAAUUAUCACAUGAUCGUAUAAAUGAAUCAACUUUAUCACCAUAGCAAAUCAGCAGUACAAAGGUCAAACUACCACCAAAUGGAUCAAAUAUUCCUAGAAAUCGGACAAUCAUAUAUAUAACAAAAUACAUAAAUGAACGAACUUUAUCACCAAACCAAAUCAGUAUCACUAAAUACGCACUAACACCAAAAUCAAUUCCAGAACUAACGACAUGUGUAUCAAAAGAAUUUAAAAGAUUCAGCAGAAAGGAUAAACUUUUGGUUAUCUUAUGCCAAAUGUUCCCUGCAAAACUUUUCCUCACACACAUGAGGCUGACAUUGUUAAUGCAUUAGUAUUACCUGAUUAAAUAUAUUAACAUGUGCACAAAAAGCAGUUAUAUAUGUAUCAUAGGUUAUUUGCAAAUUAUGACAAAUUUCAAUGUAAAAAAUACAGUUUCAACAUACCUUGGCUUGGAGAUUCUGAUUAGGAGAUGUAACACACUUCCAAUGAAUCGUGUUCCUACCACAAAUACAAGUAAAGCAAAAAAAAAUUUCAAAAAGCUAAGUCAAUUGAUUGUUAUGAUUUGUCUUCAAAUGGAUGAAAGAUGGUUCCAGACAACAAUACCUUUAUUGAGCAAACCUAAAAACUAAGAAAAGGGGAUGAACUGAUGGCCAACACUUGAUGCUAUAAGUUUUUUAAUAAUUAGCAUUAAUUUUGUCUUAAUCAUCCUGGUUCUAGAAUGGUUGGGAGUGGUAAAGAUAGCUAAAAAGACAAUCUUUUAACUUAGACCUUAAACCAAAAUACAUGAAAUUGAAGCAGCAGAAUUUGAAUAGUAACACCUAUCUAGCCAACUUCGUGCCAUUAUGUGAGGACUUGCAAAUUCCUUGUAUUUUUCCUCAAAAAUACCCUUUUAUUUGAAAAUUAGUAUUUACCAAAGGCCACUACCCAAAUAUUUCACAUUAAGUGUAGAUAAACCUAGAAAAUAGGGUUUUACGCUUCGGUUUCAAGUUUGGAGCAAAAUUAGGGUUUUCGCGAUUUUUCGCCGGAUGAAUUUUCGGUACAGAGUAAGGAUUAAAUUUGAGGAUUAAAAGUGACUUUUAAGUGAGAAAUAAUAUGUGAUUGGUAGCAAUGAUAUAAGGUUAGUGAAUGGGAAGUAAAAACCCUAGUACGUGAGUUUUUAAGAAAAACGGCGCGAACCGGCGCGAACCGGCGGGUCCCGCGCACUACCGUUUGAACGCACCACUUGACCACCAUUUUUGCUUACCAAACAAAUUUAUUGAACUUGAGCAAAAUAUCUUCUCCCUUGGCAGCAAGCUUGACAGAAAUUUGUGGCUCAUAAGCAAGGGAAAGAAAGAGAAAAAUUAGUGGCCAAGAUUAGGCCAAGUGUUGGGCAAUUUGUGGACACCAUUAGUUCUAAUCCUUUUGGCUUUAAUAUAAGACAACUUAGCUUCAUACCUCUUCAUAUUUCUGCCAAGGGAGCUGAGAGAGAGAGAGGAGAAGAACAAGAGUGAACUUUCUUCAUUUCUUCUUGAUUCAAGCUACAAAGUGAGAAAUCAAAAGAACUAAACCGAUUAAACUUCUCCUUGAGUGAUUAGCUAGUGUUUGGUGGUGAAAUUUUGGAAAGAGAAGGCUUGGGCUACACUUGGAGAACUCAUAUUAAGGUAAGGAAGAUGAUAUCUCUCUAAAUUUUUCUUUCAAUCUUGGUUAAAUUAAGUCUAGUAACUUGAGUAGUAGUGGAAUCAUGGAUGCUAGCAUGUUUGGAAGUUUUUCCCCUCUUUAUAUGAUGAACUAGGGUUUGGGAAUUCUGCCAACUUGUUGUAUGAUGCUUGUAUGUUACAAUUAAUGUUGUAUAAGAUGUUUUGGUAGUGUGAGAAGUGAGAAAUUGGGGAAAGUUGCACUAGAAACUACAAAUUUCAGAUUUCUGGAAAUUCUAGCUUCCAUUCUGUCCGGUUUGGUAACUGCAUGUUAGAGGCCGAAUUGGCCUUGGGUCAAAGAAGGAAAGUUGUAGAGAAUGGUAUUUUGUAGGUCUCUGUAAAAUUUCAGCUCAAUCGGAGCAACGUAGGUCAUGGAAAGUCCGAAAUACCCUUACUAUUUUAAGUAUUUCCCAAGCAGUCCGUGUGAUCAGUUAAGUCCAGUUUAUCACGUUUUUCGACUAGGAUCCAUUCUGAUUUAGCUUUUUGCCAAAACAUGAAAGUUGUAGUAUUCUGAAUUAGCUUUCAAAUGCCUCUAAGAACACCUGAUUCGGACUUGUGUACUCUGAGUUAUGUCCAUUACAGUGUUCUGCGUUUAAACAGCCGACGAAUUGGUUUUUGGUUUAGUAAUUCGAGAAUUUGACCAAGUUACAUUAGAAACUGGACUAAGUGACCUUCAUGAACAUUGUAACCCUGAGUCUUAGCUUCGAAACGGCAUAGGUUACGUCUUAAUCUGAUAAGCGUAGCCUCGGAUACGUUAUUUCCGCUUUCAUACGUCAAAUCUGUCUUUUGCUAAAUUGAAUUUCUGCACUUAUUAUUACUGUAUUUGUUAUUCUUAUGAUAUUGUCAGCCUAUGGAAUGGCUCUUGACUUGAAUUGCUUAUGUGUGAUGUUGGGUUGUGGUUGAGGAAAAAUAAUGAAGCCAAAAUGGCUGGAAAAUUAGGUAAACACAAAGGGCGUGCUGCCCAAAUUUUCGCUCGAGGUCUAGGUUUCUAUUUGAACUUGUAUACUUUUGUUAGGCCAAUACCAUGACCGGUUUUCCAUUUUAAAACAUGAUUUUUCAUCCUUGGGUUCAAACAACCCUCUUCUUACUUGAAAGUCAUCUUUACACGUUUUACUCUUAAUUAGUCGGGUAUCUUCGUUUCCCUUAAAUGUUUUGCUCGAUAAACUGUAAUAUGUUCUCUUGUUCAACCUUAGGUUUCAUUGGUGACUAAGGGUAAUAUCCUGAAGGAUUUUGCAUGUUAUUUUGCAUAUCUAGGUGAGUGUUCCUUAUUUGACUUUAUGGCUUGUUGUUAUCAUUUGCUAAUGUGUUAAUUGCUUUUAAUGAUUUCCAAAAUUAGCUUUCUAGGCGAGUGUGUACUUUAUCGUACUCGACCUAAAUAACUGUGCAAUUUUCAAGGAUUUAAUGAUUGAAAUGUUACUUGCGCAUGAAUGUAAGCCUUUUGGGCUGAACUAGCCAUUGCCCCUUGUUACCGGUCGUCUCGAGCCAGAAACGGACUCGGUCGGGCGAUUAGGGACUUGGGUGAACGUUUGGUAUACUUGAGUAUUACCGUGUAGGUUGGUGGAGACUGGCCAACGGCCAGGACGGGGGUGAAUGAAUGAAUGAACGAACGAACGAACGAGGGUUUAUUGAUAAACGAAAAAUACAUUUUCUAAUGAUUGGAGGAAUAAGGGGAAAUGUCAGGAGAACGAAUGAAUGAAAUAACGAAUUGCUCCUUGUGAGCCGUAUCCUUUUAAUGAAUGUGUUACUAUCGCUUUCCAUUGUAAAUGUUUCUUGAAUUAUUGAUACUCCAUGUUUAAUGUAUUGGAUUGAUUAUCUGAUUAUGUGUUCGGAACCUCACUGGGCUUUUAGUUCAUUCCUUUAGUUUUGUUUUCCUUACAGGGGAAGGCGAGCGAGGACGUGAGCUUGAGAUAGACUAGCCAAUCUAGUUUUGUUUCUUUUGUUUCUUUUGUAGCGGUUCUCGCCUAGUGCUUGGCACGGGCUGGACGUAUGAAGGAUUGAGAACCCUUGUAUAUUUGAUGUUUAUAUUCUCUUUUGGGUUGGCAAUGUAUAUAAGUUCCGCUUUAAGUUUGGAUCAAUGCCCUAUUUAUUCUAGUGAUUUAUUUCAAUUUUUAAUUGAGAACUGUAGCGAACGACUGAGUCCCGGCGAGAGCUGGGCAGGCGGCCCGCCGAACCCUCUGGUAUGCCUUAGGGGGAGGUGGGGUCGUUACACAUUAUCCCUAAUAAUUGUGUCUAAUAAAUCAUUUGUAGUAAACCUUUACAGUGAAUGGAAUUUAGCCAAUCGAGAAGUCUAGAAGUUUAAUCAGUUACAUCAAAUCAAUGUUCUCCAACCUUUAAUUUGCAACUCACCAAAAAGACCAGUACAACAAACUCACAUUCCUAAAAUACCCCUCUCUCAUUAAGUUCUUUCACUAAUUACCUACUAAACCACAUUCUCCCCAAUUUAAUUAGAAACUAAGGACGCUUAAAUAAUUACAACCACACAAAAGCUAUUAUCACUUAUACCCGCAACUAAAAAGACAACCAAAAUAAUCAUACAUUUCCAAAAUACCCAUAAAAAGACACAACCCCAUUUCUGGAAAUGUAUGACAAAAGAAUUCACCAUAAGUUGUAUUUUGUGUUGUACCUACCAUAUAAACUUUAAAUGUACAAAUAUGAGGAUAUCUCUGUAAACAUACCCAAAGACAUGCUGCUAUGAGUUGUACCAAAAACUUUAAAAAAGCUACAUAUUAUUUCAUAUUUCCAAAAUGCCCCUACCCAUACGGUUGAAAUUCAAAACCCUCUUUGACUAAAACUCAUUCUUAUAUAGUAUAAGGAAUUGGUAGCUAAGAAAUAUUCCGGUAAUUAUACCAGCACACAAGCAUACAUGGAUUGUACAAAAUGCAAAAACGGUUGCACACUCAUAACACAUUCCAUCAAUACCUAAGUGGCUCAUCAAUGACAACUUUAAAUGUAUUAAAAUGAUAAAUUAUUAGUAGUUAAGGGAUAUUCCAGUAAUUACACCAACGCACAAGCAUAUGUAGGUUGUACAACAUGUAAAAACGGUUGCACACUCAUAACACAUUCCAUCAAUACCCAAAUGGAUCAUCAAUGAGAACUUUAAAUGUAUUAAAAUAGGGUCAUUUCAGUAAACAUAUCCAAAUACAAGCUUCGUUAAGUUGUACAUAAAGCUUUUAAGCUAAUGCAUAAUAUUAAGGAUUCCCAAAAUAACCCCACCCUUACGGUUGAAAUCUUUGCCCUAAACUCAUUCUUAUAUAGUAUAAGGAUAUUGAUACAAAUAUUGAGGCAAAUAAUAAGAGAAGCAAUGACAAAAUGUUUCUUUCUUUGUAAAACUCACACAACUUAUAACAUGAAAUUACUCUAUUUAUAGAGUUUAAACCAACUCCACUAACUAUUCCACUAACUGCACUCACUCCACUAGCAACUCCACUAACUCCACUAAGUACUCCACUAAUCUCACUAGUUAUUUCACUAACUCUACUAAUUAGGUAGCAUAAACAAAUAUGAUUAAUUAACAACGGUAAAUAUUUCUAACAUAUAUAUCCAGUAAAUGCAAGUUUUAAAAAAAUGUAUUCAGUGAAACAUAAUUUUUAGACAAUAAACGUCUACAAAAAAAAUAAUAAAAAAUGCAUUCUGCGAAUACAACUUUUUCAAUAAACAUUGCAUUUAAAGAAAAUUUCUUUGGGAAGACCUUUGAGAAUUUGUUUUAAAAACUCGCGCUCUUUGAGAAUCUAUUGUUCCAAACCUCAUAAUAGACAGAUCAGCCUAUUUAAAUCUCACAAAAACGAAGUCGUGAUGAAAUGAAGCAGGCCAAUUACUUUUCCCAGACAUUUGGACCUUUACAUUGGUGGGUUGGGCCACGAACCCGUAGAGAUAAAUACAGUACAGCUAACCAUUCGGCCCAUGUUAAGAGAAUGCGAAGGCGUUCAUCCUCACUCCUCAGUUGUAAAACCGGCGGCAACGGAGUGUCGUUUUCGUUUGUAGCUGGAAUAACAUUCCCAAGAACUUUAAUCCCCAUGAGUGCUGGUAAGCUCUCUCUCUCUAUGCUUUUCCAUCAUAGUAUUUGCCAUUUUCAUUGGAGAUGACGGUGUCGACUAUGUGGCCAAUUGGGAUCACCUAGAUUGUACCAAUUAUUAUGAAUAUUUGGCUUUGACUAUGAUGAAGCAGUACCUGAAUAUUUGCGCCACAUAAAUUUGUUUUAUUAGCUGUUCUACGUAUUUGAAGCUUGAAAUACAGCAUUUUUGUUUACGUGUUACACUUGAAUUUUAUUUGCUUAUAUGCUGUAUUGAGCUACUUUGAUUAAAUUCUGACUUCGUCUUUUUCUUUUUGUUUGAAGUUGAUCUUAUUCUUAGUUGGGUUCGAGAUAAAGUUUUGUUUUGAAGCAACCCCUGUCGAAAAUUUUGCUAUUUAGCUGCUUUUUUCCAUGAAGAUUGGUCUGGAGGGUGAAAAAGAUUAGUUUUUUUUUUAAUCAGAACUUUCGCUUUUGUGAUUGCUCUCUUGAAAGAAAUUUGAAUUUGGAACAGAUGUGGUCAUAGUGGAAGAGUCGGUUAAUAUUUCAGGACACUCUAUUUUGUCUUCUUGAUUGACAUUAGUUACUCCCAUAAAGGGGUAGAUGCUGGAUUUCUUUACAUGGUGUAGAAAUAUUCCCGUCUCAUACCAUAUCAAUCUCCAGGUUAAGGCUUAAACGUGCAACUUACAGCUUAAAUGUGCCUUUCUUUGCAUUUUGCUUUGCAGGUGGUGCAUUUGGUGGAAAUAGAGGAGUAAGGCCUGUACCACCUGAAAAAGGAGUUUUCCCUUUAGACCACAUGCAUUUAUGUGAUCAGGUAUGGCCAUUUAACUAUGUCUUUUGGUUAUCAUUUGUGUAUUUCAGGUUGCUAAUCGUUUAAAUAUUGUAAAAGUUAGUUAUGUAAAUCCUUAGCCCUCUGAAUUGUUUCAGGAGAAGAAAGAAUAUAUCAGUUGCCUUAAAUCUUCUGGGCAUAAAUCUGAAAAAUGCCGUCACCUCUCAAAGAUGUAUUUGCAAUGUCGUAUGGAAAAGUAAGUAAUCUGCUUCUUUGACAAUAUGGACCUCUUAAUCUGUUUCUAAAUUCCCGUAUGAGGUAUUUGAUUUUUUUUUUUUUGGGUUUGAAAAAUUUCUUUUUUUUGGGUUUGAAAAAAUCGUUCAGCAAUCUGUUUUAGUUUUUGGGCUCAAUGUUGCACUAUCUGCUACAGUUAACUUCAUUAGUCCCAUGUUGACAUAGAUAUUUCUGCCCAAACCUUUGGACUGACUGGAGUCACUCUGAAAGAAAGUUUUUUGCCUUUUUUUUUUGUAAAUAGUUUUUUUUUUGGCCAUUAUUACUACACCUGAACUACUAAUUUUCUUUAGUCAAUUGAACCUACGAGGCUUUCUCAGCUUCUUGUGUUCUGCAGACCAUUUCUACCUUCAACACUAGCCAUUUCAAUUGCGAAUAUCCGUUUGUGAUGGCUGAUUCAUAAUGUGAAAGUCUGAACACUUUCCUGGAUAUAAUUUGCCUCUCUAUCCAUUUGAAUGACAAUACACACUCAAACCAGUAGUGAAGAUCGCUUGUUAUGCGUUUCAUUGUUUAGAAGUACCUAUUUCAUGAUUUUUGUACCAUUCAACCCUAAUUUUUUCCUCCUAAUUCAACAGACAAGAAGCUAAUCUUGUGUAGUCAUCCAGGGAAUCAUUCAAAUCAAAUCCUGUGCAUUUCAAGAAGUGUAUCAAUUUCUUAUGCAUCAAAUACACAGUGAUACUGUUCCUGGAUAAUUUCCUGUCAAAGAAGAUCACUUUUUUAUAGAUAGAAAUGAUUCCAGCUCAGCUGCCCUUGUGCUUCCCACAGCUACUCUUGAGUUUGUCUGGGUUGUUUUGAAUCUUUAUUGGACCUCUGCUCAAAAGAUUAUCCCCUCCUGUCUCUAGUUCCAAGUUUUCAUUGUCAAUCUAGAAGCAGAAAAAGACUAGAUAUGAGCCAAUAAACUCUUGCCCAUGUUUGGAAGAAUUUAUUGUACUGCCCUGUCAAUUAGUGCAUCAUUUUCGUUUAAUGACUAUUAUCUCAGGUAGACAUAUGACUCCUGCCCUCCAUUUGCAUUGCUAUUGCUAGAUGUUGUGAUCUUGGAGAAAAGGCAUAAAACUACUUUAUUUUCCUAUUCCUGCAGCCUGGCUCGGGACUUGAGUCAUUGAUACUGCUAUGAAAUUGGUCUUUGAGGGAACUGGAUGGCUUGAGGUAUUUCAUAUAGCCAACCGUAUCAAUGUGAAAAUCUUGAAACAGAUUAAAAAGAAUUACGACCAACACCAGCUUAUUCAAUUUGUAAGCCUAGUUAAAGAGAUGUCGUAAGACAACUAAAUCUGGAGGAUACAAUAGCUUAAUGUCCCUGCUACAUGCCAAUCAAGAGGACAAGCAAAGUAGAAGAGAGGAAAGAAAUGGAAAUUUUUUGUGUUGCACGCUUCCUUUCUACAUGAUUUGUUUUUCUGAAUAAAUUCAGCUCUAUAUGAACCCAGGGAACUGUUGGCUUUACAAGUAAUUCUUGUGUGGGAUAUGGCAUGCAGGAACUUGAUGGCGAAGCAAGACAUGUCAGAACUUGGAUUCAGAAAGGAGAGCGAUGUGGAAGCCUUACGAGAUGGAAGUAGAAAUGGUAGCUUAGAUGACUGAGGAACUUCAUUGCUGGGCUCUAACGGGACAAUUGCUCACCGAAGAUAGAAUUUCCUGACUUUUUUGUAUCAUUACAGCACUGCUUUGCUGUAUUAUUACAGUACUGCUUUGCUGUAAAAUUGUGCAUAUCGUGCCCAUAAGGUUUCUGGUCCUUUGACAUGUUAGUAAUUUGUUGGAAGAUUUAAGGUGAAACUGUUGAGUUUUUUAAUCUUUUCAUGUUUUGUUGCAUUUACUAUUUCGUUUUGCUCACCUUUUAAGUAAUGCUAGAGAUACAAGAAGUUGAUCAGUUGAUGAUAGGUGCAUCUAUGCCAUAUAUCUAUCAUUUUCUGAUGUGGAAACCAUGAUGCUACAGCUUUACAAAACUAUAAAAUACCCGAGAAACCCGAACUCUCCUACCGCCUCCCUCCCCCAACCACCCCCCGCCCUCUCUUCUCGGCUUCCCGAAACACAUAUAAGCAGGAUAAAAACUCACGUAUUGCACAACUUCUUUUGGCCAUUCUAGAGUAGUCGCUAACCAGAAAAGACGGGGUUGAAGGAGAAAAGGAGGUGGGGAAGAUACAAUGAUGAGAUAAGAAUUCAAGAUUAGCCUAACAGCCAUCAGGGACCAGAAUAAGAAGUAAGCUACGAGGCUUUUUAUAAUGAUGGAAUCAACCCCAAAUGUUUGGCGUACAAUAAUUAAUAAUAGCAGUGAUGUGUGAUUCUGAAGGAUCCGCACAAAUCAACUUGGUGCAACUCAAUUUAAGGACCUUAUUGGAUAAAUCUUGGCGCUUGAUUGCAGCAGCUCACUAAAACGCAAAUAUCGUCGAACAAGAAAUCGACCGUAUUGGAUAAAUCUCGUCGCUUGACAGCAACAGCUCACUAGAAGGCAAAUGUCGUAGAACAAGAAAUCGAUCAGACAUUGUUUGGGUGCUGGUGGGGGAGUUAAAUUCAAGAACUUCUACAUACUUGUUCAGAGAAGUAGAUAGUAAUAUUUUUGUUUAAAUUCAAGAACUUCCACAUGCUUCCACAGAAAAAAUACAAAGUAUUGUUAUUGUUUAGUUAAAUUCACUCAUAUUCUCUCUCUCUGUACCUCGAUGGCUUCGCUUGAGCAUAGUUGUUUAUAUACCAAUCUUGGGUUGGUUCCAUUUUCUUCGUUUUUUCGUCUCCAGCUCCAUGGCUUCCCCUCUACCCCUGCGACCUGCCCUAUUUCACAAGGACCACAGCCUGUAAGCUCUCUUUUUAAACUACAUUCUAAUCAGCGAGUUUACUUCGUCAUUUCACUGUUAAAAACAACAUAAUAAGAACUUUUUGGCAUCUAAAAGGUGAAAUGUUCUGCUUAUUCCUACUUUAGUCAGCUGGAGUUCUUGCAGUCAAUGUGCUCGCUUUAGCUUAGUUCAGAUGAUUUCUGAUCAUCAGCUCAUGCCAAAAGACAACGUUUCCAUGAUGCAGUCAAAGUUAUUUCUAUUUGUUGAAAGGAUCUGAUAGAGCAUUCUAAUUCCAUGGCGAUGUAUUGUUCGCCAUUUAAGUUUGGAUCUGAACCUAAUUGACAAUUGUUCAUAGAAAAAUCAUGAGCUUUCAUAGCAUGGUGAGCACUCGUAGUUUUGUAGAUAACUGAAAGUUGAGAUAAGGAGCAGUUUUAAUAUGCUAUUUAGGAUGCCAUUAAGCUGGUAUCCAAUUGCUGUUAAGGAUUUAAUUAGAGUCACCAGAUUGAGAGACAAGGCACAGGACUAAUCCAUAAAUUUAAGUUGUCUCCAUCUCAAACUCCAGGAUACUUCACUCUGAUUCUUAUUUUUGUAUUGCAGAAUAUCUGCAAUACCUAAGUCCAGAGCACCAUGUCAAUCAAAGGUAGUUAACACGAAAGACCAAGAGAAUCAUGGUCCAGCAAGAACUUCCAUUUCUCAUGGGUUCCAGUUUCCAUGUUGUAGAUCAACAAUCCAAACAGCUUCACAAAAACUGAUACCUCCAGGAGUUUUAUCAUCCAUGGGAUCAGCCCCUGAAUCUGAUCACCUGAUCACAGACGAUGAACCUUUUGUAGAUAGGGCUAAUAAUCAUGAAAUGGAAUUCACUCGGGUGAAUUGUCUUGUAUGGGUAUUGCAUGAAUCUGCCAGAGGUUUUUCGCUUGCUAUACAGGCGCUUGAGUUGGCAAGGACUGGGCCAGAGCUUGCAAUGGCAUGGAGAGGAGUUGAUGUGCAUGCCUGGCAUAAAAACAUGGCAUAUCAGGUAUGUCAAAAUGGAACAGGAAUAUGCCCAAAUAGAGAAAGGGUAAUAAAUAUUUCGGAAGAAAGAAAAUAUUUGAAACAUUAGAGUUGGGUGAUACAUAUAAGAUCUAGCGAUCUACUUUGUUUAAAUUACCAUUUGACUAAUAAUCAUAAUCGCCUCCAUUUACUGUGUUGGAGAUGUACCAGAAUCAUUGAUAUUUGGAAGUCAAAUAUCAUCUGAUGAGGACUCGAAAAACAACUACUUCGUUAAUAUGGUUGUACAGGUAGCAGUGUUUGCUUUGUUGAAAGCAGCAAUUGAAGUAGACUUAUUUCUUUGUCACAAAUGCAGCAACAACCUGUCUCCUGUCCAUGAAAUGUAAGUUGCAGAGACUAAGUUGAAAUAACAUGUUUAAUGUGGUUGAAUUUGAAUGUUUAAAUCAUGAAAUUCAAUGUUUCUUCAUAAAACCUUGCAAGCUUCCAAUUAAACAUGAUGAGAAAUGAUUUCUAGUGUAAAGACGACACUAUCAAGCUGCUGAUUAUUACCUUGACUCUUUUGAUGAUUGGGAUCUCAAACUUACGUGUCUGGCAUGAGGUUUGCCAUUAUGAUCCCUAAAUCUGAUUAAAUGUUUAGUAAUUGACAAAAGAGGUUUACAUUUAGAUGUUAGUAUAAUUUUGCUUUUGGCUCAGCUUGUCCGUGAAGGCAAACUUACUUGGUGAGCACAUAGAAAGAGAAUUGAACACGAGGAAUCCAAGAUUACUGCACUGGUUUAGAACAGUGGAGCUGCCACGCAUAGCUGGGCUGUUCAUUCCGUUAUUUCAGAAGUGGUCUAUGGAAUAUGCUGGAAGGUUUGUAACUUUAUCCUCUUAGCUUCAGAAUUUUAUGCCUUUGUACUGAAACUCCAACCAUCAGUUCCUCCCAAGUCAGUUUCCUGCAUACAUGCAAACACCUUGUACUUGACAGUCUGUGAAAAUCUAAAUCAUAUAGUUGGCACUUGGCACAGUGGUGUUGCAGGAAUCAUUCUCGCUAUAAGUUGUUGUGCUGCAAUAAGGAAACUGGAUCCUGGACGAAUUUGCCGUCCUUUAUUUUGUAUUUCAAUUGAAGAUGCAUUAGUGAAACUCAUGAACCUGUCACACAGUCUCGUUUCAUUAGAUAAAUUGCAUCAUUUGGCAAGUGAAGCCGGAUUUGAAGAGGAUUUCCUCUUGCACUUUGGUAGAAAGGUUUUGCCUUGUAAGAACACAGAAGAUAUAGAGUUCUGGAUUGGAUUGGUACAGAAGAAACUCUCUGCAGCAUUCUACAGAGAAAGUGUAUCUACGCACAGGCAUAUGUUCCACAACAAGGUUAGCCUCUAUUUUGUAUUGAUUUCUCUUUUAACCUGGAGGUAUAAAUGCUUGAACAAUCCUAUGUUAUCCUAAGAAUCCAUUUGGAUGGCUCGUGGAGCUUGCUUUGGGUUCUUAUGCAAUGUAUUAAAUCAUGUUCUCCACAUGUUCUGCUUAUGGUUAUGCUUACCUAUGGCUUUUCAACACUCACAUACUCUAAUGAACCUCAUUGUUAAAUGGAUCUCUCAUUUUUCCUUGGGAUUGUAGUUUCUCACUCAAUAGAUUCCAUGUUUUUUCUGCAGAUGAAAAAAUUCCAUUUCCUAUUUCCCCCUGAUCAAUAGUAUAGUUCUCAAUUUUAGAUCUUAUCAGGUUCAAGAGAGCAGUUUGGCUACUUUUGGCCUUUUUGCUUAUCUAGGAAGAGAGACAAGACUAUAUCUUUCGGGAAUGGGAAUUAAGGAUCUUGACAAGCAAACUAAAGAUUUCUUGAGGUUGAUUCCUAUACAUUUGGGUUAACCUAAAUCUCACAAUUUUGACCCCUUCGUACAUUGUUUAAGUAAUGAAGCUUCUAUACACUUCCAUGCAGUUAUUUAGAGUGUGGUAGCCUUGUUAUAUAUCCUGAACUUUCAACCUUAUCAGAGUAUCAGCUCUUCAUGGAGGUGAGUUAUCUUUAUAUUGAAACAGUGGAAACAUAUUGUAUACAGUUUGGGGUGGCAUAAAAGUUUCCAGUGCUGCUGCAUUUGUGGCUAUAGGUAGUAACUGAUGAAAUUGGAUGGCUGCAUUUUUAUCCUGCGGUUGGCUUUGAAUGGUGUCAAGAUAGGAGGAGGUCCAGACAGCGCAUGAUACAAGCAGAGAAAGAGAUUGUUCUCUACAAGGUUCUUACUGCAUGCUAUGAUGUUAUCUCAGAGUUUGCUCAUUACAGCCACUCAAGAAAGCAGCCAAUGGACUCAAAUUUGUUAGAAUUCUUACUUCAUUGGUAAUAAACUUUUACUGCCAUUGCUUAUUUGCAUUCUGCCUUCUGCCUUACUGGGUUUGCUUGAAUUUUGAGUUAGUUUUUGGUCAUAUUGUUUAGUCAGAGCCUGCUAGCGACUUGUAUGGAGGAUUACUGGGCUGCUUAUGAUGAGAUAGGGUAUGAAGCUUUGCUGAGCGGCCUAUACAUUUUGAUUAUUUAUCUUCACCAUUAACACUGAUUUUUAGAGAAACCAUAUAAUCUGUUAAUUGUCUGGAGCAGUGAACCACAACAUCUUGUGGAAAGAAGUGUAUCAGAGCCAAAAUAUCUUAUGGCAGAGCACUCGUCAAAGGAUUGGAUAAAAAGAGGAAAGGAUCAAUACGGACCUACCGUAAAUAAUGUAAAGUACCUUGGUACUCAUUUAGAUUUUAUCCAAUUUCACUUGUUCCAGAUGGAUAACAACAGAGACUUUAAUACCAACUUUCACACAUCUAUUUUUAUUCGCAACUACCAUGAAUGUUGGUUUGUGAAUAUCAGGAGGCUAUUGGCUCAGCUGUGGAGAAUGAGAUAACCGUAGGGAAGUCGGGCUCUGCUUCUCCAAUAAAGCCUUCAGAUGAGAACUUUCUGCAAAAAUCCUCCAGGAAAGUGAUAUCUGCAAGUGCUGUAAGUAUAGUAAUCUUGUGAUAUUGUGUCAUUGAUUGGGUAGAAACCUAGAAUAUGUUACUUCUGGAUAGCUAAUUUCGCAAAUAAUACCAUUCAGAAUGUGUGGAUGGGUACUCAGUUACUCUUUAUAGAUAUAAUUGAUGUUGUGGGGCUUCUGAAGAAGCAACUUCGUGGCUGCAAAAUGACGGAAAGGGAGAAGAAGAAAAUAAAGAAAACACUGGUCGACUUUGCUACACUGGUUCCAGUAAUAAUAUUAAUGCUGCUCCCUGUAAGUCUCGACACACCGAAAUUUUAUACUCAAAUUCACCUAUUCAUUUCUUCAGAGUUUUCAAUUAUUUCCUUGUACGAUUUCUCUGUUGUUUGAUAGUCACGCCCUGCUAGCAUCACUCUCAUUCGUGUACUAAUGAAUCUAAUGAAAGUCAAGAUGAUAUAAAACAAGCCAAAGUCAGGAAGCUGAAAAUUAGGAUGACACUGUUCUGCAUAGAAACAUGAUAAUCAAUCAAACUUUCAAGAAACACCUGCUUAACAUGUCGUUUGUACUUGAAUUGUGGUUGUGCCCCAUGAAAUCAUUUCUUGACAGAGGACCCCCAAAAGAUUUUCAACAAAAAAUAGAGCGCUGUGCUGCCAUCAUUGGCAAACACUGGCCCAACUAGAGCUAGUCCAUUGAGUCUACUGGUUUGGCUGCUCAGAGGCUGGUAAAUUAACCAAUAUUUAAAAAAAAAAAAAAAAAUCAGAUGUGCAACAUCCAAAUGGCAAGCUUAAUUAUUCUUAAAAGAAGGAGCCAGCAAGUCCGGAUCAUGUUGUAAUCCUGCGGUUGAAGUGAGAGCUUAAGAAACCUUUUCUUCUUCCACUAACAGGUUUCAGCUGUCGGGCAUGCAGCAAUGUUGGCAGCAAUCAAAAAGUAUAUGCCAUGUUUGGUAUGUCAUCUAAUCCGUUCGAUAAUAGAACCGUACUCUAUGGGUGUAUAUGUUUAUCAGCCAGCGCAUGCAUUUGUUCGUUUUCAUCAUCGUACUUACUGUAGAUUGUCGCUAUCAUUUGUCAGAUUCCUUCGCCUUAUACUUCUGAACGUCUUGGUUUGGUGAAACAAAUAAAGAGAAUAAAGAAGAUGGAAUUGCAACGAAGGAGCAGCAUCCAAGAUGCUUCCACUAGACUGGUUGUUUGACUAAUGUUCUCAUGAGAUGAGACCUGGCUUUUCAAUUUGCUCUGGAAGAAAAGUGCAGUGCAGUGCGGUUUUCCGGUCGGUAAAUCAGUUUUAUUGCGGCUGCAAAUAUGGUGGUGGACAAGCAGUGUAACCCGCAUCACCGAACAGACUGCAGUUUGCUCGCUUAGUCUUUUUAUUCUCGGCUUCUGUGUUUGCGCUUUUAAAAGAAAAUACUCCAUUGAGAAUCCACUAACAGUGAUUUGCCUAAUUGUACUCGUCGAAUUCCAACUUUUCUACUUUCUAGGUUUCAUGUAAAUAAGCUAUUUCAUCGCAUUUCAGCAUGUAGCUUCCUUCUACACAUCCCAAGUACUAAGAGGGAAUAUAUGCAACUUUCAAAUAUUUUUUCUUUGCAUUGUGAAAUAGGGUUAAAAAAACUUGGAGGUCACUAAUUUGUGUGGACUGUGGACUAAUGGACAUUCCCUCCGUUUUAAGAGUUUUUAUGGUUCCUUUGAGAGGGUCUCCGUAUCUUACUUUCCCGUUGGACCAUUUACUUUUAGAGUGGUUAUGGGUUUCUUUCCUGUUCAUAUAUCAAAUAGGGACUCACUUGAAAAAAUUUGUUAACCUCCUAGGCACCUUACAGUAAAUUUUCUGAACAUAUUUAGUGUUUUUUGGUAAUCAUUGGACUUCAAGUAAAACCACGGAAUCCCUAAUUGAUUGGCAGACGGUGGUUAGACUAAAAUAACUUUCAUUUGACAGGAGACUGUAAGAACCUAAUUCUCUUCCCACCAACUUCCACCUGCUGAUGUCUAAUUUCCCUCUAUGUAACUUCCCUUUAAGUGUCCACUCGUGGAAAAGGAAAACCACCCACCCAUGCAGCAUUCAAAAGGCUUUAUGUUAUCUUGCUUGAACUAUAUAAAUACCAACUGUAUGAAAUGUAACCAUCCUUGUACUACUAUUAUGGUUAUGGCCCAAAAAAAUAUGGUGUGUCAAAGAAUAAACAUAUACAUAUGAAAGGCAGAAAGAAUAUCUUUAUGCAACAGCGGCUAUAUCAUUCAUGUCGUCAGAUUCAUCUACAGCCAUCUCAUCUCUAAACAGGAGUUUAAUGUAGGGAAGAAUUCUUGGAAGUAAAGGUAAAUCAGCCAAGUUGACACUCAUCAUGUCGAAAGCAAUGCAGGUAUUAUGGAGGUGACUUUCAUCAAAAACUGGAAUCUUAGGGUAUCUUUGGCUAAAGUGUGUAAGGAUAACACGAUAUGCUCCUGCAGAAGCCCCAACUUCAACAGCUUCUUUUGUUGUGCUGUGAUUUCUUGCUAUAGCCUCCUCGAUCAGUCCAUCUUCAAAUGUAGCCUACAAUUAUGAACAAGAAACUGUUAACAUCUGUUCAAGUCCCACCUCAAGGCAUAAGAUAGUUGCUUGGAGAGAAUAAGUUAGGGUAACAAAGCAUCUAUGAAAUGCCUAUACAUACCUCAUGUACAAGAAUAGUUGCACUCUUCGAAGCUUUCACCAGUUCUGGACAAGGUCUAGUGUCACCAGAAUACACGAUCUUCCAGCCUGGUAUUGUUUUUCCAGCGCCAUUGGUUCUAUCUGCAGCCUUCAGCACAACACCAUAUGCCUGUGGACAGUGGAUUACAGGAAAACUUAUUAAUGCCUGUAAUCCCGCUUCCCUGAGCACCUUCAUUAAUUUCUUUAAAAGUGGAUAGACCAUAGCAUUUUCGGCUGGACUGCCAGGCCUCUUAAAAUAACUCUGCAUACGGCUUCCUUUUGCAAAUAGUGUGGAGUCGAUUUUUUGAUCCUCUGACCUGAUUCUAUCGGCAUCUUUUAUGUCCUGACAAUUUAUUGCAGCUUUUGAAGCUAGAUCAACUUCAUUUGAAUCAAGAGCUGCUAACGAAGAUUCUGAGGUAUGCUUACAGUCGAGGAAUUGCAUAUCUAGAUCCUCGAGUCUGUGGUAAGCAUCUAGAAAUCUCUUCAGCCGCCAAGGACCAACAACCAUCAAAGGCUCAUGAGGUACUCCCUUUAACAAGUCCCGUCUACGAGCAAGUAUUCUUGCAAGUCCUGUAUGGUGAUCUCCAUGAAUAUGAGAAAUCCAGAUACACCUUAAAUCUCUUAUGAUCUCAUCCGCUCUGUCAACACCAAACCUGUUUUGCAAACAGCAUACUAAAGUAUUACCUCCCAGAUGUUAAGAAGGCAAGAAAUCGAAAGGCAAAACACAGAAUGAAAACUAAUAAGAGUAGUUUACCUUCUUUUUAGUUGGCCAAGGGUUCCUUCACCACAGUCAAAAAGUAUACUUCCUUUAGAGAAAAGAUUAAGAAGAAUAGAACUGACAUUCCUAUACUUUGAAGGCUGAGAAGACCCAGUCCCAAGGAGAACAAUUUCUAAAUCUUCCCUUGUUACGCCUUCCAAGCAAGCUGGAAGUUCAUUAUUGUGCAACCAUGGCUCUUCAGUAGGAAGUUCCUUAGCUUGCUCAGACAUCCUCUCAUUUUUCCCAUUCUGAAGCCAAAGCUGGCUAACUUGUUUUGAUGCCUCUGUAAUUUCUGGAAUCCUUGAUACCAGCUCAUCAACAAUUUCUGAUUGUGAUGCUGAAUCAGGAAUCCCAGAUCUGUCCAAGCCAAGCUGAGUGAUUGGACGCAAAUAGAACUGUUCCAAAAUUAACACAGUCACCUCCUGCCAAACUUAUGGAAACAAAUACAAACUACUAAAAAAAAAAAUUUUGUUUUGCCAGUACACGAUGAUGUGUCUAUAGAUGGAACAUGCAAUGCAUCAAUAUAAAUAAAAAAUUUAAUGCAACACCUGUAUCCAUUUUGCAAUAGUUGGAGAUGCCAUUAACAAACAAUCGCUUAAUAUAGGCACCAUAAAUUAUACUAUUUCUUCUUAUCAGAACCCAAAGAAGAGAGUCAAUUCAACUCCACAAGACGUGUACAACCAUAAACUAGUACUCCUUUAAAGGACAGGGAAAGGGAUGAGCAUGAAAUAUAUGCAAAAUGAAUUUCUGGGUCCAUUUUAAUCUGGAGAAGCAAAUGUAUUACAUUCAAUAAAAUAGGACUGAUAGAAUGCAUCCUAUAAGUUGUUACUUAUCAGAACCCAUGUUUUAGCAUUCUCUUCCCUUUUUCUUCCUAGAGCUAAUGAGAAAGAUUAUUUAACACACCAGACACAGAUGGCAGGAGCUUUCCAAAGAGAUAGCUUAGUAGCCACAUUAUUAGCACCUUGGAAGAACUAUAAAUAAAGGAGCAGGGUUCCUAAUGAAAAAGAGACCAGUCAUAUGUAGCAUAGUCCCGGGAGAGCCACUUGAAAUCUACAAACAUACACACACAAUGUAUGUAACAUGUCUUGGUUUUAACAUCAUAAUUCAAUAACUAAAAGAAGCAAAGGAGGAAAUGUCAAUAUUCAUUCUUGCAGACCAUACCUUGAGGAGAUUCUGUGCUGGUAUGCUUUCACAAAGAUCUGAGAAAGGACCCUGUCAGCAAGGAAAAAAAAAUUGGCUUAAUUACCCAUAAAUCUUACCAAAUUUGAUAUCCUUAUCAAUCUCUGCGAUACAUAAUGCUACAACCAACCUCACUUGAAGCCCUCAAGUCUGAUGCUAUAUCUUUCAAGUGCUGGAGAGACCAGAUGCCAGGAGCAGGAAAGAACUGAGGGCAAAGGUAGUUAAGCUGUGCUGCAAUUCUUGCGCUUGAUUUUAUAAUUGGAACCUCAAUAUUCCUCCUGUGACCAAAAGGUAACGCAUCAACUCUCCAAUUAUCAGUGUAAAAAUAUGAUAGGCAUGUAUGUGCGUAUUGCAUGCACAGACAGAUAGAUUGGCACUUGGCAGACUUGUUAAAACAACAACCAGAACUCACAUUUCAUGUCCUGCCAUGAUAUGCUGGGCUUCAGGAAAUCUUGACAUCCACUUCUGAUACUCGAUUGUGUUUGUGACAUGAGAAGGACUAAGGUGAAUGACGCAAUUUACUGUUCUGGAACUAGAGUUACCAGAUAUUCCAGCAUAAUAGGACGAAAGAGAUUGUACAGAUGACACGUCUUUAAAAUGAGACAAAGUUGGGCAGUCCACGAGGAGUACAAUUGGACCAGGAAUAGAAGGACCCAGGACGUCACUAGGGUGAACCUGAAUUGUGCAUAUUAAAUUGCUUAUAAAUAUGACAGUCAGGAAGCAAACCAAAUGCUUAUAUAAAGUGUACUAUUAAAGUUACCAUAAUAUCUUGACGAUCUGACUUCACUGAGUUACCAAGCUGAAGUUCACGAUACUUUGGACCAGGUCUCAAUCCGAGAGCAGCAGCUUUCUUAGGGUCAAAUUUCCCCUUAAUUUCAGGCAAUUCACAGAUAUAAAUCACUGAAAGAUCACCAGGCUUUGUGGAUGGCUCAGCUCUGGGCUUUGAAAUUGAAGAUGAUAAUUGUUCCACUAAAUGUUCAUCUGCCUCCUGUGAUCCAGGCUUUUUUGUGGAGGAACCUUCUGCUGCCUGACUUGGUCUCAAGAUGAUAGCUGAUAGUUUCACAACUUCAUCGUCUAUAAGAACUACAGGAUCACUGAACACAUCCUUUGCAGGAGUCACAAGAGCACUGGAAUCAGAUGCAGGCCCAAAGCUACGUGUAUGAACCAUUGCAGCAUUUGGAAUGAAGGCUCUCAUUGCAUCUACUAAUAAUUUGAGAUCCGAGGGGCCCCACACAUUAACCUGAAAACAGAAAAGUGUCAUUGUCAUCAAAAUUCCUAUUUCCUAGAAAGCAAUGGAUGGCUAUUAUAGAAAAUCUGACACUUACAGACAUUCCUUCCUCACUUAUGCCUGCCAAAGUCAACAAAAGCCCUGCAAUGAAAAAUAAAACUUAACAAUUAUAGCCAUUAUUCUGGUUAGGCCUUUCUGCACAAGCAAAAUAAGAAUAAAUCCAUCUACCAACUUGUCAGCAACAAACCUGGAAGGCCACCAGCAGUUUCUGAGCAUACGCGUGAGAGAAAAAUGUGAUCAAUCUACAGGGAUUACAAACCAUUAAUAACAUUGCAAACUAAAAAAGAAAGAAAGUCUCAAUCAUUUUAAAAUCCAAAUAUAAUCACACACCUUUGACAACUUGAUUUUAUGUUCUGUACAGAAGCGUUGCAAUCCCUGGAACAAAAUUCCCAUAAUAAGGCUUUGAAAGUCCUCAUAGACAUUGAAUUAACCAGGUAACAAGUUAUAUUUUGCUUUUCUGUGUGUGUAAAGAAGAAUUCCUUAUGACCGUGUAAAGAAGAACUCCCAGUCGUGAAUAACUCCUCCAUUUUACACUUACAUGCCAAACAUGAGCAUGUAAAAUAAGGCCAAAGGCCGUUGACCAUUACCAGAACCAAAUAAAUAGGCCUAAGGAGAAUAAAUCCAUCACCAGUAAAUCAAUCUCUUCUAUUCAGAGGAGAUAUCUUCCUUUUCAUUUUCUCCCCUCUAGAACAAGCACCUAUUCUUUAGCUCAUAAGACAAAAUGGAACAACUUUGUUUACCCAUUCAUACAUCUAUUUGGCUAUUUUCUUAUUUGUUUCCCUUUCUCUCUUUAAGUCUCAUCCAGAUAUAGAAAACAACGAGAAGAAAAAAUCAAAUAAGCAUCUCCAGACAAUCUAGCAAAUAAAAAUGUGCAAUUUUAGAUAGCUUACAAAAAACUGCAUCAGAAACGUACCAAUCAUAUGUAGGAUUAGCAGCAGCAGCAGCAUGAGUAAUUGCAGUUACACCUUAAAAUCAAUAUCAAAUGGCCUAAUGUUCACAAACUACUCCACUGAACAGUUUAGAGAUAUAAGAAAAGCAUAACUCAGCAUAUGAGAUCAAAUCAACCCAUAAACUUUUCUUUAACCACAUAACCACCAGAAGAGUAUCUUGCGUUACAAGAAAAGCAAGAAAUGAGUGAAGCUCACCACCAGAUGCAUUAACAUGAGUACGUAAUAUGCAGAGAAAAAAUUAUUCUCCACUUCAUAAAGCCGUUGUAACUCUCAGCACCCAAAAAAAGAUAGAGCUUCUCCAAACUUCAAAACAUGCAAUUUGCUAUGUUCAAUGGAGACCACAGUCCAUCAUUAAGAAGUUAAAGAGAAUAGUAGGAGUAUCUUAAAGAGAUACUUACUUCUCCAGCAUUAAAAAUAAAUCUCUGCUUGUCAAAAAAUAGCAGGACAGAUGGUGAUGUAUCAUGCGUAUCCAUUCCAGUACCAAGAAUCUGCAACAUGAAUAAGAUCAAAAUCUCACUCCACUUAUGGUGCAUAAUAUUUCCAACUCAAGAAUUCACAUCCCACAGAAUAAUUUCCCUCAGAAAGCUACUGCAUUCAUGCAAACUUUAAAAAAAAAAAAUUUAAGAUAUAAGUAAUCCAAAAUGCGAAACCCAAAACCCACGAGAAGUUUUGCUUCCUUCUUUUCCGCAUGUAUACAGCCUCAUAAUUAUAUACCAGUCAUAUCAGAGAAACAAUUGUCGCAUUUCCUAUUGAAAUAAGCUGCAAACACUUCGCCCAAGUCAAAGAACCAUAAUGGAGGAAGCAAACAAAAAAAUUUAGGUUGCCUUCAAAUUAAGCCAAUGGUUCAAGCAUCGAACAGAAUUUGACUAAUGGAGGAGCUACAAAAUUCCCAAGUCAAAUUACCAAAAAUUAAAACGAAAAGGGAAAAAGAAAUGACCUGAACAUAACAAAUAGUAUUAAUAGGAUUCAGUUUUCGGACUUUAAGCUCAAGGGUCUUCCUGGGCAAAUCUUUCUUCUCCGAACCAUCAGCCCUUUUCUUAUUAUACACAAAAGUUGACUCAAGAGCGUUGUCAGCAGAACCAGCCUCUUUUUCCAAUUCCAUCGACAACCCACCUUUCUGGUUAUUAAAAUUAUUAUCCCUCCCUCUCGUAUUAGAAGUGCUGCUGUUUCUAUGCUGCUUAGUGCUGGAAAAGGGAGAACUUGAACUAUUCCUAUUGCUACUCCGGCGGGGUUUUCUGGAAUAAGAAGAAAAAGUAGUGAAGAAACGUAGAGUGUUGGGAAAAAUACGGCGCGGCAGCUGCAAAGAUUGGAUUUUGGGUUGGGAAAAAAGAGGAAAGGAGGAAGAAAGGAGGUUUGAAGAGGCGGGAAGGGUGGUGAUAUGGUGAUUGGCGGAGGAGAAUAGGAGGCGAAGGUUAGUUAAGUGGGGAGGCAUUGCCUUUCGUGUUGCUUGUAUUUGUAGCCUUUUAAUUCCCAGUUUCCCUCUGCCAUUCCCCAAAGGGUUUAAGGCUACUUCAGUCUCGUUUCACUUUCAGCAAAAACCCAUAACCCAUAACCACUUUCGUCAUCCCCGUUUAGCCCACCAAAGAGUCUGUGAUGGCGCCCGGGUCGGAUAUGGAAUUUUAUGCCACUUGAACUCCAAAAAAAAAGAAUAAUAAAUAAUAAAGUAAAAGAAUUUUAAUGGAAUUUUAUGUUGAUUGCAGAUUUUCUUUCCAAACAAUUGAAUAUAGUUACAUAAUUGAUAAGUUUAAAACUACUGUUGUUUUAAGUAACUUCUUUUCUCUUUUUGUUAAAUAAAAAACCAAACAUCAAUUAAUAAUAGGAUUUAAGUUCAACGUUGCAUUUGCCAAAACAAUGUUUUUGGUAAUUUAAUACCUUCUCAACGAAAAUGAGUAGGAUAUUAAGCACUAAUUUACAAUAUAUGAACUUUAGCAUUUGCAUUCUAGAGUCAAAAGAAUAUGUUUGACCUUCUAAUAUUGCUUCAAAGUUCAAACUAGUUACUAUUUGUAUGUUUUAAAAUUUUUUUAUAUGAAGGAAACUCAUUGCUAAAUUAUAAUUAAUUUAACACACCGCCUACACAAGAAGCUGGAGUAGCUCAGUCGGUUAGAGCGUGUGGCUGUUAACCACAAGGUCGAAGGUUCAACCCCUUCCUCUAGCGUAUUUCCCUUUUUUCCUACCCCCAACAGUACUGUGUCACGAUCAAACGCCUGCAAAAUCAGAUAAGAGGAAUAAGGGCCACAAGCAAAUUCCAAGAGGAGCAUCCUAACUAUCCAAUCCACUAUAUCCAUCUCAAUAGAAUAUAUCCCUUUUUUUUUUUAAAAAAAAAAAACUUCCCCUAAACGAAAGAUGGGAAUUCUGGAACUGAAUUCAGGUGCCCGCUUAGCAGCUUCUUUCUCAGUGUCGUCUCACAGCUUGAAGAGCAGUAACUUUUUUCCAGCUCCUACCAAUGCCAGAACUUGUGCAAGGUUCCAAGGCGCGGAUAAGCAGCACCUCAACUUGAACUUGUCCAAAGGAAAAAUCAGAGCUGUUGGGUCUUCUGCUCCAGAUAGCCAAUCAGCCGAGACCAGCACAACUUCACAUGAGCCUCCUGCAGUCAACUUUGCAUUCGUUAGCGUGAGUCACUUCACCUGUGGGACUUCACAGUUCAUAAUACCCCUUCUUCUUUUUUAAUCGAUCAUUUCUAAUUAGUGGCAGUAUACUAUAUUGUGAUUUUGUGGUUAGUCAGUUUUGCUUCCUGAUGGAACACCUGACGUGCAUUUUCGCAAAGCUUGCGGGGGCCAGAAACUCAGAGACAUAAUGCUUGAUUCUAAUGUUGAGUUGUAUGGACCAUAUGCAAGUCCCUUUCACUCUCCCUUUCUUUUUCUUUUUCUUUUUUUUUUUUAACUUUUAAUAGUAGAAGAGUAAAAUUGAGAAAGAUAAAACUAGAUUACAAUUAUUUUUCUUGCUUAAUGUUUCUCAUGAUGCUUAGCCAUAUUAGUUAUUUAUUUGUUGUUUUGGUUCUUUUGACGACAUAUAUAGGCAAGACCUUUGCUAAAUUGUGGUGGAGGAGGAACCUGUGGGACGUGCAUUGUGGAGGUGAAGAUGAUCAAUAUAUAAUUUCACUUUUUAGUUUUUCUUACGACUAGAGUUUAGUUAGUAAUUUGUGAUGUCAUUAAGCAUAUAGCGAAGAAGACUAUUUAGCUUGUUAACCUGUGGUCCUCUAUCAAAAGAAGAUCUGCAGCUAUAUCCAUGAAACCAAUCAGGUUUCUUUUUUAUUUCCCCCCUUUUGUUCAUGAGAAUUUUUUUUUUUUUAUGUGUAUUUUGUUCAGGUUGUUGAAGGGAGAGAGCUAUUAAGCCCUCGCACGGAGAAAGAGAAAGAAAAGCUCAAACGGGUUUCUUUUCUUUCCUUAACAAUCAUUACAAGUCCAAGAAGAGUAGGAUCUUUUCUUUUCUUUUUUUCAAAUGGAAGAAGAGUAGGAUUUUUUUUAAAAAAAAGUUUACAAAGAAGGAAUUGGGAUUAUUAGAAAUAGAGGAAUCAACAAGAUUGCCCUCCUAAUGUUAACUCCACUUAGCACUGAUGUGAUGCUGCAAAUUGCAGAAUCCAAGAAAUUGGAGACUUGCUUGUCAAACCACCGUUGGCAAACCAGAUUCGACGGGGCUGGUUCGUAAUCUCUCCCUCUCGGCUACUGUAUUAGACUUUUAUAUGUAUAUGUGUAUAUAUAUAUAUAUUAUAUAGUGCAUUGCAUCCGCUUCAAUGGCACCUCCACCCACCUGGAAGCUAGGCGCUAGCUACUACUGUAGGAGUAUUUGUUUUCUUUCUCACGUAAAUGCAUCAAUGCUUAUUUUAAGUCAAAGUACGUUUCAAAAAUGCAAUUUCUAAGCUAAGAAUUGAUAUGCUUAACACGAACCUCGAUGCUUUUAGUUAAAAAUCAUGCCAUGCCGAGUCUCUUCCUCGCCUCUUUCCCUGUCGGAGGGGAGUCCAUCUUAUGUUUUCUUUGGACAUAUUUUAACAAAUCUUCAUCAGUUCUCUUCUGUUGAUUUUUCUGGGUGAAUGCCCAACUCUUAUGUCAGGUAAAUGGGUCCUUCUACAUCAUAAUGGCACAAUUCAGAUACACGGAAGCCCGUCGAAUUUUGCCAGAUGAAAUUAGUUCAAUCUAAAAAGAACAAAAAGGAAAACAAAUCAACUUAUAAUCUUCAAAAUCGUGGCUCGUCAUCACAAAUAUUUUCAUUUUCUGAAUGAUUUAAAUGGAAGUCAGACAUCCAGUUUCUUGGUCGUCCCAUGAGAAUUAAAAACUUUUCAUUUUGCUCGUGCACUUGCUCUGCAGGUUGUGAUUCAGCAACUACCUGAAUGGAAAAUGCACGAAUGGAAUUAUGGGAAGCAGCCACCCCCAGAAGAUGCAUCUUGUUACUUCUUAUGAUUUUGCAAAUUAUAAUUGGUGUUUGUUAAGAAUUUCCCCUGGAUGAUCUGUAACACUACAUAUACUCUGGGUUGCAAAAUCUCCGACUUUACACAGAACAAAAAGGUGGCCCAAGCAGAUACGCAGAAGAACCGGCAAAAUAGUGAGAGUAAAUAAUCUCUAUAUAGGGAGCCUUGAUCCAAUUUCAUUUUACCCUCGUGUUUUUUUUUCCUUUUCCUUUUAUUGUGUUUCUUCCUAGCCUAGCAGGCUUCUGCUUCAUCAAAGCCAAUUGUGCCGCCUUAGCAUUGCUCAAUGCAGCCUGGCAGACUAAUUCUGUCAAUACAUUGGCUCUCCCUGCCCUUUUUUUUUUUUGUGUUUUUUUGGCUUUCCAUGCUUGUGUAGCAUGUCAAGACUUGCAUAAAAUAUUAUAAUACUUUAAUCUGUGGGUGAUGCAUAUUAAUAAUUUUAUCUUGAUUUUGGAAACACUACUUAGACCAAUAAAAUUCGGCUUAAGGAUUUGUAGCCGGAGGGCAAAUAGAAGGAAUUUGGCUUUAAGGAUUGGUAGCCAAAGGGCAAAUAGGAGGGCAAAUAUGUAGUAGUAAUUCUUAAUGUACAAAUUAGUACGAGUCCAUUAAGAAAAAAUCUGGAAAUUUUUCCAACGAGAAAGGAUGGCCGGAUGAGAUUGGUUCCUUUUCUUGCUUCUUUUUCUAUAGCAGCUAAAGGUAACAAUUCGUGUUAAACGAAGCAUUGAAGGGUGAAGGAUCAUGUCUAAACUGGACCUUAUUCAUAAGCACUAAUUGGGAGGAAACGCUCUAUCCAGAGAGAAAAAGAUUAUGAAACUGGUUGCGAAAGCAAAAUUUUUAUUGACUUUCAUAAUCACACUAUUGCAAAAAAUGCAUAACGAAUCUUCUAUCACGCUUUCUUUUUGUCACUCUUUGUUCCAUUUUUUAUUAUUUUACUAUUUCUUCUUCAUAAACAACAUAUUUUAGUUCAUUCUUGUUUUCCUAAGAUCCAAUAACCAUUCCCUGAUUUAAUAACGUAAUACAACAAUACAUUCAUACUUAAUUCCUGCUACUCAAUCCCAAUUGCAAUGGAUUUAUUCAAUCCAAGUUUUUGUUCAUUUGUUGAUAAAAUAUUGUAAAUGUUACAGUAGCAUAGCAUUUAUAUAUAAAUACGUGUGAAUAAGCAUUAAAAGUUUCAAAUUCCUUACAGCAGGAGGAAAUUUGAUCAUCAAGGCUGCUAGUGACAGUAGCGUAAGAAUGCGGUACACUUAUUCUCUUCAAUGUUUCUCUCUUUGAUUUUCUUCUGAUACAUUUUUGUGCUUUGCUUUCUGAGUCUUAAGAACAGCAAACCUAAUUUGAUAGCCUAAUACAAUAGGACAUUAUAUUUAAUUUCUGCAGCUCAAUUCCAAUUUCAAUUGAUCUAUUUAAUCUGUGUUUUUUGCUGUUUGUUGAUAAAAUAUUGUAGAUAUUACAGUAAUUAUGUUAGACAUGCAUACUUUUUGAUAGAUCCCAUCUUCUUCUUUUUUUUUUUUUUUUUUUUGUAGUUGAACGUGGAUCUUUUGAUGACCUUCUAGUCUAUUUUAUUGCUUUUUAUUGAACGAAACUUACCCAUUUGCGGAAUUAGGCGUGUAGGUGCUACAUAAUUGAUAUUCACCGACUUUAUCUGCAGGCUUCAAAGGUUGAAAUAUCAUCCUUUCGUUUCAAAAGAUAAGAAGACAACUCUUGGCAGAAAUGGAUUCAUAGCUACACACCAAGAAUGAAAAGCAAAGAAUAGCACAAAUUUGGCCAUACUUUUUUUUUUUUUUUUUGUAAUGGUUUUUUGUUGGGGAGAGAAAACCAACGGAAUAAUGACAAAUUGUCAUAAUUUAAACAACGCUAACAAGAGGAGCAUGGUCAUGCUGCAUGAACACAUAGCCAUAGAUGACACCGGCCAAGCCACCACCAAUGAGGGGUCCAACCCAGUAAAUCCAGUUGCCGCUGAAGUUACCGCUCGCCACGGCCGGUCCAAAGGAGCGAGCUGGGUUCAUUGAUCCACCGGAGAAUGGUCCGGCGGCCAAGAUGUUGGCACCGACAAUGAAACCGAUGGCAAUUGGGGCAAUGACACCCAGUGAACCCCUCUUUGGAUCAGCUGCCGUGGCAUAGACUGUGUAAACCAAAGCAAAGGUGGUGAUGAUUUCCAUCACAACUCCUUGAAGUGCUCCUACCCCGGCGGCAACACUGUGGAUUGGAAUAGCCUGACAAAAUUCACCACAAAAUUACAUUAGAAAAGGCAUCUAUAAUUUCGAAACACACUAAUUACGGACGUUAGAAAUGGAACUUACCAAGCCUCCAGUGACAACUUUGAGAAGGUAGGAAGCCACAAUUGCGCCCAAAAGUUGAGCAAUCCAGUAUAGGAGACCGGUGAGGAUGGUGAUUUGACCCCCCAGAGCCAAACCGAAAGUAACGGCGGGGUUGACGUGGCCGCCGGAGAUGUUGGCUGCAAUGGCGACUGCAACAAAGAGAGCAAAACCAUGGCAAACUGCGACUGCCACAAGCCCAGAAGGAUCAAGAGCCGCGUCUGAUGUCAGUUUGUCUGCCACAAAUCACAAUUUAUGUAAACAAGCUAGUCAAGAGAUUAUAAGCAAGCCAUAAAUGGCCUUAGUGACCAACUCAAAUCUGCAUGGGCAUGCAUGGGAUGAGGACUCCAUACUAGGUUUUUUGGGUCAUUGAGAUGCAUUGAAUGAUUGUAGGGAACAUUAAUAACACUAUCAGGUGUGUGCUAUUAUCGCUGCUAAAGAUCAAUGUUAUCUGUUAAAAAUGCAUUUCUCUUUUUCAUCUUUUUCUUGAACGUUAAAAUUGACUAGGCUUGUGUGAUAAUCUAGAAACUAGAAAGUAAAGGUACAUAAGGAAGCUUAUUUACUGUAGGCCAUGGCUGAACCAACUCCGGCGAAGACGAAAACCAAUGUGGAGAUGAAUUCAGCAAGAUAUGCCUUGAGAGACCCUACACUAAAUGAAUCAUCAAACCGUCCGAAAGCAAUUCCAGCCAUUCCUUUUUUUUUUUUUUUUUCCUUUUGCUUUUGGGGGGUGGUUGGGGAAGAAGGGGGAGGAAGAGGAAGAUAAGCCUGAGAGUUGAGAGCGGCGGAAGGCUGGAGCUAGAUGUAGGAAAUGGAUAGAAAGCUUUCAGAUGACAAAGCUACCUUUUCUGUCUCACGUACAAAUAUAUAUACUAAACACGUACAAAUAAAAUAAAGGUAUUUGGAUAGCAAAUUAUUCGUGAGUUUUGUUCCUGUAGCACAUGCCAUUUGCCAAAUUCUAAACCCAACCGAUAAUCAUUUAUGUAUGUAGUAAAGAUUAAGUAGUAGUAGUUGGAUUAUGUACUUGAUGAUAAUGUGACUGCUGGGUCAUCGAUAUUGGAUUGGGAUCCCGAGCUCCGGAUGACUGUUUUCCUCGUUAGAAGAUGAGAGGAAUAUGCUGUGUACAAUUAAUCCAUGCAUUUGCGAACAAGGGCUGUGUACAUACAUUUCUUGCAAUCCUCCUAGCUGUCCUUGACUAACAUGCCUUGGAUGCAAUUGUCAGGAAUGAUGCAUCCAUGUGAACCGACCAAUAGGAGAGGAGGCUAAUGGUGAAUGUCCCUUUUGGGGCCCCCCCCUUUCCCUCCCUUUGUGAUAAAAAAAAAAGGAACUAAGUCAAAUAAUGACACAGAGAGAAAAGGAAAGGAAGAAAGAAAGAAAGUGGUUUCCGGCAUGAGUUAACUUUGCGCCAAAAAGUGGACCGACCAUUACUUUUUGAAGAGGUAGGGAUGAUUGAUUGAGGAGGACUGAGUUGCUCAAAAAUGUGUGGAUGAGAAUGGAGUAGGAUUACUAAUUACUAUUUGCUAGCAUCUAAUUUUUGUUGCUUAAUUAUUGCAAUGCACACGUACGUACUUUCAAGGGGUACGUUUGAUCAAUGUAAUUGAUCAAUUCUAAGAUGGGAUUGGGAGGAAUCUUGUGAGGAGUUGUUGGCAUAUUUGGAGGUUUUGGCUCCAUCGUGGAAGAUAUUAAUUGUUGUACUAAAAAUGGGCUUAAUCAUUUACGUAUGUUGAUGCAUGGUUCAACAUGUCCAAUUGAAGAAUUGAAGCAUUUUGUUUUCGUUAGUGGAGGGAGGGAGGGUUCACAUGAUUCCUUUUGUCCUCUGGGACUGCAUCAGAAUGUUGUUAGUGACGACGUAUUGACAACUCCAAUUCAUCAAAUACUACUAUUCCACGUACGUUUAUUCACUUCACUACUAUAUAUUACUGUGGCCUUAUUCCAAAUUUGGUAGUAUCGAUCAAAUUGGAAAGUCUUGUGUCCUCAUAUGAUAUGAGAUGGUGGGGCUGGUAAUUAAAAUGAAUUAGCACUAAACUUCCAACUUAGUAGAAUGUGCACUUAAUAGGUAUGCCAUACAAAAUCUCUACAACUUGUAUCCAAUCGCGCUAUCAUUCAUCUGCGCACUCGCAAAAGGGAAUUGUCGACUUUUGCUUUUACACUUUCUGGCGCAUGAAUUGCCAUCGCCACAAGCUUUGUGAGUUAGUUCAACGGUACCACCCAAUGGCCGUGCUCUUCUUAUCAUCUCAGAAGGGCACCAAUACCACCUUUAAGCCUGAAUAAGGGCGUUCACGUAAAAGAACCUUAGACUUUCACACUUUUGGGCCUAGUGACUUUCACGGCUUUUGAAGGUUGUUCGGGGAUCUAGGUUUAUUUACACAAAAGUCUGAGUUUCUCAGCUUGGAAAAAGACUGCUAAGGCAAUAAAUAUGUAAUGGACAAAGAGUAAUCAUUAGUGUCCGUCCACAUUCUUUGAAAAUUGACAAACCCAUUUAAAAUGCCGGUCGUUUUCAAAGCGUCUCCUUGAAAACAAACUGAAAUCCCGUUUCUUUGAUACAAUCGGGCCAAGAUCCAUAUCGAGUGAUAUUUCUUAACAGAAAUCAAGUACUUGCAAAAAAAUGAUCUAGAUUCUUUUGGUUUCAUUAAAGAAUUUUCCAAUAAGCAAUGGAUAUUGGUGCAAGUAGAAGACAGGAAGAGGCUUGCAUCUCUUAUCGAUGAGAUCUCGGAUUCGAAACUCUUGGGAAUAGAAAAAAUAAUGUUGGGAGAGUUUUCCCUGCAAGGGGCCGAUCCUACUCGAAUAGAAUUAGUCGCAGAUCGUAAAACGGAUGCGAACACCUGUGGGUUAUACCUAAAAAAAAAAAAAAAAAAGAACUUUCCAAUAGGGGUCUAAUUUGAUACACACAUUACAAUUACAUUUAUUUUUUAAAUUAUAGAGUGCAUUUUUUUUUUUCAAAUUUAAGUUCACUUUUCCAGAAUGUUAGUACUUGCUCGUGACCUAUCUUUGCCCGUUACGCAAUCCCGUGACACUACUGAUCAGGUAGACCAAGCCAGCGUUCGUCUGCUUCUUAUGCUGCAAUUAGAACGGGACAUUGGCAUGUACCAACUCUAUUUCAUAUUUAUGGUCAGAGCUUGAUUAGAUUCUCAAGUUCUUAACCUAUCUGUUGAGUAUUUUUUGAACUUAUAUAGUUCCAAUGUAUAUAAACAGAAAUAGUGAAUAGUGAUGGACUGAUGGGAUGGAACCUUGUACUUGGCGAUCACGACCAAAACUCCAACCUAUCAACCCUACAGCGUAGAAAGCUUCUGGUUCUGGAGGGAGGCGUGGUGCAGCGGCUGAUACGUUAAAAUGAUAGAUAGGCAGCAUUAAAAGGGGUUGUUGGCUAUACCGCAACGUCGCAAUUAAGAGCUUAAUAGAGAGAGAGCCAGGAGAAAUUUAGGCAUUAUCCGACCACCAUCAAGUACUAAUUGGACGUUCUUUUCUUUUAUUCUUUCCUUUUGGAUCAGAAAAGUUCUUUUCUAUGUCAGGCGAGAACGGAAAACACAAAACUCUCAAGAAAGGAAUUUUUUGUCCAAUGAUCUUAAACAUGGGCAGAGCCAGAUAAGAAAAUCGAGGUUAAUGAAUCCCAAGUUUUUUCUACUUUCAGUUUUUGCAGCUAGAUUUUGAAGAAAUUUGUCUUUUAGGAUAUAUAUCAGAGGCAACUGCGAUUAGAAUUUAUUAGAGACCAAGAGACGACAGAAUUUCCAUAUUCAGGUACUUUGGGGUCAGUGAGGCCUUAGUUUGGUUACGCAACAGAAAGUGAUUAUCUGAUAUCCAGACUCGGGAUAAAAAUCCCAAUUGGCAAAAAUCUUAAUUUUAGUUCUUACUGGUGUAUGAGUUCUUGUUCAUAUGUAAGUUUACUGGCCGGAACUGAGACUUUUCAGCAAUGCCAAUAUGCUGAUUUCAUCACUGUUGAAAUGAACCUGGAAACUGGAAAUAUGACUCUAAAUUGAGGAAUGAAACAAAUUGCAUUUACAUUUGCAUGCAUGUAGUAAUUGCCAGCACCGAACUUCUGUCAAAUUCGGCAAGUGGAUAAAAUAAACCGCUGUUCAUGGGGGUGGGGUAACAGUUUUUUAAACCGAGAAGAUAGCAAUGCCAGUAGUUAUUUAUGGACCAGCUACUUAAUUUACUGGAACAUGGCUCUUGCCUCUUGGCUUGGGUAGAAAUAGACACUGUGCCCAUUGCCUUGCUGAGAAUGUAUUGAUGUUAUGUGCGCCCACGUAUUCAACAACUGUUCUCCCUCAUCGUUUCACGAAUUGAUUCAUGACGCGAGAGCUUUGUCAAUUUAAUUUUAGAGUUUAGUCAUUCACCAACGGGUAUUUACUAUCACUAUUGUGUUCGUUGAAACUUGAAAACAAACAGUACAACACCAGUGCCAACUUAAUCAAGUAGAAAUUAUAGCAAGAGGUCCAACAAAAACGGGGACUCCUACCACACAGGAUCCUCAGUACUAUUUUUUCUGUGACAAUUCAGUGUGAUUUCUAUAUUUAUGUCAAAUGUCCUGUUCAUUUAAUUUAUCAAGUGUUGUUUAUUUAAAUUUCUUCUACCAUCACGUGAUAAGUGGAAUUGGCAUUGGAUUUGACACCGAAUAGUGACACAGAGAGGAUCCCAACUGAUCUCCUACCCGCCCUUGUGCAUUAUGAUAAGCAGUAAGCUACUCCAAUCCAAUACCUUACCUGGCAGUUCUAUAGUAUUAACUAUUAACGCCACCUGGUCCAGAGUUCAAAGUGUUUCACUUGAGCGAUCAAUAUAGCAAAUUCAUGCGUUCAAGUUGAUUACCUCACUGAAUCAGAUUAUUCCUUCUACUCUUAACCAGUGCCACUUUGAGCCCCAACUCAUCUGCAUGCUAUGGAAUUCAGUGGGGAAAGAACUCUUUGGAGUUUUGUGGAUGAGGAGAAAAAGAACAUAAACUUGCCAAGGAGACUUUCAUUUGGAAACCAGGAGCUUGAUUCUCAUUUGGCUUCCGCAAGAACAUCUUGUGCUUCUGCCGCAUCUUUCCCACUCUGGCCGAUGAGCCCUGAGACCCCGUGGACCAGAUCUCCGUUGCAUGCAUCCGCAUCCCCAAACUCAUCUCUUCUCUACCAUUGUAUAGCCUCUCUCCAUCGCAGUGAAGGUAAAAUCUUCUCCAUAGCCGCAUCAAAAGACUUUGUCUUCACUGCGUCAGACAGCAGAAGGAUCCAUGCAUGGAAACUUCCAGAUUGCACGGAGAUGGGAUACAUCAAGGCUAAAGCUGGGGGAAUUCGAACCAUCUUGGCUCAUGGGAAGCUGCUCUUCACUGCGCACGGGGACCACAAAAUCCGGGUUUGGGACAUGCCACCAACAGAAAACUUUCAACACAAGAAAAUCACCACCUUGCCAAGAAGAUCUUUCCUGGUGUAUGCUAAAAUGAAUAUCCAUAAAGACUCUAUAUCAUGUAUGGCUUACAACCACAUGGAAAACCUUCUGUACACAGGUUCCUGGGACAAGACAGUUAAGGUGUGGAAAAUCAGAGAAAAGCAAUGCCUCGAUUCGUUCGAGGCUCACGAAGGUAAUGUGACUGCAAUUGUGAUAAACCAAGAAGACGGCUGUGUUUUCACGGGUUCUUCAGAUGGAACGGUGAAAAUAUGGCGAAGGGUUUACCGUGAAAGCUCCCACAUUCUCACAAUGACCCUAAAGUUUCAACCAUCACCGAUAAAUGCCUUGGCUUUGAGCUCGUCACCUGGCGGUUGCUUCCUCUAUUCUGGCUCGUCGGAUGGGCUCAUAAACUAUUGGCAGAAGGAGAGAAUGUCCGGGAGGUUCAAUCAUAAAGGAUUUUUACAGGGUCACCAUUUUGCAGUUCUUUGUUUAGUGUCGAUUGGGGGCUUGAUCUUGAGCGGUUCUGAGGAUGCCACCAUAAGGAUAUGGAGAAGAGAGGACGGAGAUUCCUUCCAUUCAUGUCUUGCGGUCAUUGAUGGCCACCAUGGGCCAGUGAAAUGCUUAGCGGCUUCACUAGAAACCGCUGAUGUAUUGAUUCGACUGUUAGUUUACAGUGCUAGCUUGGACCAAACUUUUAAGGUAUGGCGAGUUAAAGUAUAUCCAGCUGAGAAUGUGAACUUGGAAAAGUCAGAAGCAAAGCAUAGCCAAGUAGAAAUGGAGUGUCAAAUGAGUCCAGUACUAUCUCCUUCAUGGGUGGAGAGGAAAAUGCAGGGAAGCCACUUUGAAUAGGAUAAUGAUAAAAUACAUGAACUUUACAUGCAUGUUUAUCUGAUAAUCCUGUUAAGAAUUUAGGUUAUUGUAGAUGACAGCAGUGUACGUAGUGUCCGAUAAGAUCUAGUUUCAAGUAGAAAUAGAACUGCAAAAUAUUGAGUUUAUACUUGAUUCGUUUCAUAUCUUUUCUUAGUUCUGUGUGAGAAUCUAGCUCCAUUUAUGCAGGCAGAUUAUGGUGCCAUUUCAGUUAACCAAAUACUGAGUAUUUCUUUCUGCCUGCCCUGAAUUUAAGAAUUUAAGGUUGUGACUUGUGAGUGCGAGUUAAGCGUUCUCUGACAUCUUUUACAUCUGUUUGUAGCUUUAUGUUUCCUGCUCAACAGUACGGAUUUCGUGAGGAUGAAGCCUCUACAUCUUAUAACUGUUCGAAGAUGUACUUUGCCUGUGCUAACCUGUCAAAUUGUGAUUUGCAAUCUAAAUAGAGAGGUAGGAAUCGAACCCGACCACUAGGAAGGACCUCAAAUCGCUCGGCAUCCCUACGGGGCGGGGGAUGGCCGCUAGGGGUGGCAACGGGACGGGGUUGGGGCGGACUCCCCCAUCCUCCGCCCCGCUGCCUACAAACUCCCCCCGCCCUCGCCCCGUCCCGCGCCACCCACUCCCCCCGCCCCGCCUCGCUACCCCCGCGGGGUUAAUAAAAUUUUAUUAUAAUUCAAUUUUAAUAAAUAAUCAAGUACUAAAAUAUCAACACAUCAUCAAGUAAUUAUUCAUUUUAAUUUUACAAUUGAAACUCAUAAAAACAAUCAAACAAAAGUUAUUUGAAUACAAUCCAACAUGAUGAAAUAAAUACAACUAAAAUAGUUAAGUUUUUACUUUUGGUACAAAUACAAUCACUAAUUCAUUAUUGUGUUUGUGCUUUUUUUUUUGAGAAAAAAGUGUUAUUCUAUUAAGUGUAAUUAGAAAUUUAGUAUAAAUGUAUUAGUAAAUUUAGUAUAACUAAUUAAUAAAUUCUAUUAGUAGACAUGUCUAAUUAUUCAUAUAAUUGAUAAUAUCAAUUAUAUUACAUGCACUAAUAUACAUUAUAUAAUACAUCUAACUAAUAAUAUCAUUAUCAUAAGUUUAUAACUAAUUAAAUUACAUAUUAUAUAUAAUUAUAUUUUUUUUUUUUGCGGGUGGCGGGGCGGGGGAGUACCGGGAAAAAAUUCUCCCCCGCCCCGAGAGCCCCCCCGCGGGCAACCGCCCCCGUUGCCAUCCCUACGCUCGGCCCACCAUCCUUCCGUUCCGUGGGUGAAUCCUCCGCUAAGGGGCCAUACCAACUUGUACGGCAUACAUAGAAAUUCAUAACUCAGGGCAAAUCACACCACCAUCUAAGUCACCCCAUUUUGCAACCGAAUUUGUCCAAACACAUCAAAUGGUCCCCAUCAACCCAGUCUACCAAAUAGUACUAAUUUUUCAAUCAAAUUUACGAGAUGUUGGGUUUUCUUCAUUCAAUUAAUGACAGCUAACCACCUCAUUUUACUGAUGGGAAGUGAAGGGUCCUCUAGAUCGGUAAUCUAGUUGCAGAACCUAAUAAAAUUUAAGCUAACAAAAUGAUAGAUCGAAUCACCAACAGGACAAUAACUGCACGAUGAUCUGCUCCCGAAUCCUGCAUUAGAAACUUGGACGAAGCAAAUUCUUCCAAACACGAAAGUGUUACCCAAUCCCCUCGACACGAGUUCCAACAAUUUUUUAUUUGUAUAUUAGCUCAAGGGGAUGAUGGAAGACAUUGUGGAUAAACUAAUAGUCGAUUACAAAACACGCGAUUAUUAGAUUUGGCAUACUAGAAUAGUCAAUUACAAGACGUGUGAUUAUUUGAUUUGUUGUGUAUGUCACGUUAAAGAGAAAAGAACCUCAGUAGUCAUACAAGUUCCAGCAAAAAAUCAAACCGCAUAAAAUUUCUUUCCUACACAUAUUGAAGAUUGUGCGUCACGUCUUGGGUAAAGGAGUAUGAAGACAACCAGGUGAAGAGAAAAUACUAAAAAAACACUUAAACAGCUAAAGAGGGCACAAUGUUUCUUUAGAUGCAGGCGGGCAAUCUAAUCUAAUUGCGUAUCUUCGGGAAAGGGAAUAGAAGUGCAGCAAUGGUAAUAACCAUUUUCAUCAAACCGAAACCUUUCAGAAAGAUGGGCUUCACGGAUGACAUACACUCCCCAAUCCUCAGAUCCGUAUUGAUC
rnacentral:lncRNA from 1 species